ACUAAAUAUUUUAGAAGAAAUAAUUACCAUUUUUGAGACUUUGUGGGAAGUUCUGAAGAGUGACUAUUCUUGAGAGCUCAAACCCUCAUGAGAUGAACUCAACAUUAUUUUGGUUUGGGAUUGAAAAUUGUCUGAAAGACCAGCUCGGAAGGCAACCAUACUACAGAUGGCUACUAUUAGCCCCUUAGCCCCUUAACUCAAUUUUGGAGGAAUAGAGCCUAGACUGAGAGUAAGGAUGGCCUAAAGGUUUGGUGGUUCAAACCCUAGAAGCUAAGAUGAGAAGGCCAUGUGCUAGCCAGACGCGCACCACGGGCGAGCCAGACGUGCAUCGUGGGUGAGCUAGAUGCGCACCGCGAGCAAGCCAAACGUGCACCAUGGGUGAGCCAGACAGGCACUAAGCAGGCACCACUUGCGCACCAGGCAAGUACUAUGCGUACACUAGGCAUAUGUUGGUUAUGGAGCUGGUGUAGAUAAAGGGUGAGGUUCAUUUUGGAAUGUAAUUUAUAAUUAUUUAAAUAUCCCAUUAUGUCUCCUCAAACAUGGGUGAUGUCUCUUCCAAAAAUUUUGAAAAUGGCAUGUAUUGCUCUUGAAGUGGGGGAGGGGGGUAGGUGACUCGAGGGGGCACCAUGGGAAAGCCUUAACCGCGCCAAGGGAGCACCAUGACAUGACCUUGGCCGUGCCUAGGACACACGAAUGGCACUCAAGCAUUCACACAUGGGCUCCAUGACAUGUGUGGUGUGCACCCCGUGGCCGCAACGACACGGCACAGGCACGAGGGCGCCUAAGCCUUGUGCAAUGAGACAGCUAAGGAAGCCAUGGGCACAAUGCCAUGGUCUAAUGGGGUACUAGAAUGUGCAGCUGAUUCGAUGGGGCCUACGCAUGGCACAACGACACAAUGCCCUGUGCACUAAGAAUGAACAACCAUGGCCGCAAUGCCAUGGCUCGUUGCUAUGGAGUUGGACUUGAUAAUGGGAGCUAAACAUGUGCCUAGGCCAUGGGCACCUCGACAUGGCAUGGGUUAACACAUUAGUGUGGGGAAGACAUACUAAGGCACUAGGCAGCUGAGGCACCUGGUCAGCUAGGUGGUACAUGCGGCUGGUCAAGAGGGCAGCUAGCUAGUGCAACUAACUAGUGACAACUAGUUGGGGCAACAAGUGAUCAGGUCAACAGUUAGCUACAAUGGAUAGGCAGAUGGUUGAGGACUGAUGGUUGGUGCAAAGAGACACAUUGGGCUGAAGGAGUGUCUCUAGCUGGGUAGCUCCAUGAAAAGCUCACCAGUUGGGUGGUUAUGCAAGCAGUUGUGGCCGGUUGUGGCCAGUUGCAUAACCACCAAACUGGUUUCAUGGGUUUUGAACUUUGAAAUUUGAAUUGUAACUUGCAGGCAUGUCUUUUAAAAGGGGGCCUCUUGCAUCCUUGAGACAGAGAUGAUAGAUAAGGAUGGUUCUCUGAAUGCUUAGGGGUGUAAGCAUUGUACUCUGACUUAGGGAAAACGAUUUUGUAUCUUGUAGUGAGUGAAAAAAUACAAGUUGGGAAGGGUUCUCGUAAUUGUAAUUGUCUGUUACUCUAUUUUUCUAAAGACUGGGAAGGAAGGUUGGCUAAGGAAGGGUACUUAGCACCGCACACUUAGUGAAAAAAAUUUAUUAAUAUUCUAGGGUGUGACCACUACCAUGUAUACAGUUUUUGGAGGUACCCUACUAAACCUUGGCAUCACAUUAGCCAAUCAAGGCAGUCAAGUUAUUUCAAAUGGAUCGUAUGUUGGUGUAGGUAAACUGUUUUUAACCCCGAAAACUUUCACACUCAAAUAUUUCUUCCUCUUGCCUCUAGACAUUUUCAAGUUUGCCUUCAUCAACUUCCCUGUGGCUGAAAUAUCUAGUUUUGUUAAAAUGCAUGCGUUUUCUUGAUAUUGUUUAUUAGGUCCAUGAAAAGAGUGAAAAGAUAGAUAAAUUUGAGAAGAUAAUAUGAUUUUCAAUCCUAGAACUCAUGGACAGUCUGUUUUAGUUGUAAAAUAAUUUAACCUCCGAUUCUUGGUAAUAUAAUUGUCCUAAAAUUUUCAAACUUGCAUAUAAGAGCUCUAUACACUACACGUAGGAAAUGAUUCAAGAUGAAAAAAAUCUAUGCAACAGAAAUCCAGAUCUAUAUGAUUCUAUACAAUGUAUAUCAUAAUCAGAACUUGAGAUUAAUGGAAUUAAUGAGCAACUUUGUUUUCUUUUUUCUUUAUUAUUGUAUUUUUUUUUUUUUUAAGGUUUUGGACAAGGCAAUUAACAACCCUGAUUCAAGACAAACAAUUUUAGAGAAAACUUAAAAGGUGUUGUUGGAAACUUGUGUCAUGGUCAAGAACAGCCCAAAGAUCUAUACAUGACAAACAAAGCAGUGUAUCUGACCUAAUUUGUCAGUUUCUCAAAGGAUUUCUCUGAAUAUAACAGCCAAGCCUUUUGCUACCUUCCAUGAGUCAAAAGCUUGAAUAUGCCUCAAAAUGGCUAGGAGGAUACUUGUUUAUUGGGUGCAAGCAACUGGGGAGUUUAUUGGUCCAUUCAAACCUGUAAAAUAUAAUUAUAUUGGUUUUAAGCCAUUGGUUUGCACAUGCAACAAUUAUCAAAAGAAAAUUUUUAUGGAAAAAUCGGAAUUGGUCAUCUUACCUUUCGAACCCUUCAAUUUGCCAUUCCUCGGUUGUAAGCAUCCACCAUUGUCAGGGCAGAAAAUUUUGAAACAGCUGUUAGGUGGGAAAUAGAGUAGUGGCAUCAAUUACAACCUGCUAACUUCAUUGUUGGGGAUUGUUCUUCAUGCCUCGGCUUGUCAAUGAGGUUAAAUGAUCAUAUAUGAAGCAAUAGAUAGAUAUCAAUUAAAUGAAUUAAAAUCCCUAACAAUCUUGUAAUGACCCUCUCACAACUUGAGUAGAUAUUGUUUGAUCUAAAACCAAUAGACUCCCAUGUUUUAAAAACAUGUCUAUAGAAUUAGGAACUUUUUUUUCUAUCACAUGUGGGAUAUCACACAUCCCUCCACACAUUCAACCUUUUUUGAGUUUAUACAUUCAUUUAAUAUCCUUCUUUGGGAUUACCAAUUGAUUAAACAUAAUAAAUAAAUACAAUAAAGCCCAAACUUGUGACAUUUAGUUACCAAUUGACCCAAAAGCUUAUUUUUUAAAUAGUGAACCAACAAUAUAUAUAAAGAUGAGGAUCCAAUACAACUCAACUAAUAUUGACCAUAUCCAUUCAAUUUUCAAUAAUUACAAAGCUCAGUUCUAUUUGAGGAUUAUAAAAACUAACCUAAUUGAUUCAAUUUUCACUUCCUUCAUCUAUUAACUAAUAAAAACUGAACCAAACCAAUAUUUUAGUUUUAUAUCAUUAGGUAUGUGAAAGCCCUCUUGAGACCACUUGUUGAGCCACUAAAAGCAUUGAAACCAAUGGUUGGGUCAACGAAAGCUCUAUGUAUGCAAAUAUAUUAAUGAAAAAGCAUAAAAAAUAAAGUUAAUCAAACAAAGAUAAACAAGGUUUUAACAUGAUUCAAUUGUCUACCCCCACCUACGAGAGAACAUUUUAUAAUAAAAAAUAUUAUGGACAAUAAAUUCAACUAUUGCUUAUCCCCACGAAUGAUAAAUAACAUUAUAUAAUAGAAAAUAUUAUGCACAUAAACAAAUUCAACUAUUGGGUCUCGAAACUUUUUACAUUUCUUCACUUUUUAUAUCUCCAUCUUGAACCACAAGCAUUUUUGCUCUGUUAAGUAUCUCUCACUCUUUCUCGAAUCUCAAUCUUGAACUACGAGCCCUCUUAAUCCACCAGGUGUCACUCACAUUUCCUCACAUCUCUAUUAAUCAUCUAUAAUCUUCACAAACUCAUAUCUCUCUCAUAAUUUUUCUCCGCAUGACAUAGAUUAUUUAUAGAGGAAUUGCUAUUAACUUUCUUUAUUCAAUCUAAUUUUACACCUAUAAAUUUAGAAAAUAUUCUAUACAAUUUUCCUUUUACAAGAAAGAAAUAAAUUUCAAUUAGAAAUUUGAGAAACUUCACAACUUAUAUUUCCUAUGAUCGGUUAUUGUCAAAUUACCCAUAUUGUGUACUUGUAAGCAAAUGGGUCUCAAAUAUGAAAUAACUUCUAACAAUCAAUUGGAAUGAAGGGCAAAAUUAAUUUUCAUCCAAACCAUUAUUUAAAAAAAUCACAUCCAUUUUGAUUCAAGAAUAAACAGAAAAUAUCGAUUUGGUCAGGUUUGAAUCAAAUUUUUUUACACCCAGGUACUUACAGAAAUAAAGAUAGCGUGAGGGAAACUAAAGGAUGAGAGAAUACCUUUGGAAGAUGAGAGAGUGGUCUUUGCCUUAUGAGCUGGGGAUGUAAAGUAGUAGAAGAAGGUAUACAUCUUUUAGUUACAAUGAGGUACGGGUAGAGACUUCUCCUUCCAAAACGGGUCAUGUGCUUUCUAGCCAAUGUUUUAAAGUAAGAAAAUCAAAUAUGUUUUAAAGCCAUGAGAGCUCAUUAAGCGUAAAAUAGAUAAUAUCUAUAUGAAGAAAGUAGAACAUUAUAAAAUGAUAUCAAAACCACUUCUCAACCCUAGUGUACAAUCCUACAAGACAUUAUGAAAACAUUGUGUUUGCAUGAGGGUAACUGUGAUAUCACACAUUGGUUAAGAAAAAAAAUAUUAAUAUUAUAUAUGUGACACCUCGAACCAGAAAGUUAAGGACACCAUAGUCAUUUCACAUGUCAAACCCAAGAGCCUAACAUAUAAAUGACUUCGACUAACAAAUCCAUCAUGUACCUAGCUAAUAGCUACCUCAAAUUCAUUCAAAACAAUAAUAAAAUCAUUCAAAAGGUUAUGAAUCUCUAAUCCAAAACUAAUUAAAAUAUCUAAACAAUAAAUUCAAUGUGUAAGCAUUUUUGUGUGUUGGCAAUUUUGAGUCAAAAUUCCAAUUGCGUUUCUCCUAGCUCAAUCUCUUUAAAUCCUCCCUUAGAUUCUUAUCAUUUCCGAAUUGUUAAUGAUUGAAGAUUGCUAAAAGAGAUGAUAAGUAUUUUUAAGGUGAUGGAUGAUAUCAAAUAUUGGUCAUCCAAGUUUAAAUAUUUUAUCCUUUUGAUUCAAAAAUGGAAUUGAAGCUUAAGAGUGUUAAAAUUUGUAUUUAUAUCAAUUAGAUCCAUUUUUAAUCAAUCAAUCCAAAGGGUAACAGUUCGUGCUAUACCCAGAGUUUUUUCAAUCAUGUCUGAUCGAUCAAAGUUCAAUUAUAUCUGGGAAUCUUCAUUAUUUUCCAAACAAAUCUCAACUAUUUUAUGGGUUUUAAAAGCCUAAUAUUUAAGCCAUAUUUCCAAAUUAGGAGGAAAUGAUUGUGAGAGCCAAGUGACCUCCCUUGAACUUAAAGUUCUUUACUCAUUUUGGGAGUAUUUGGUUUGAAAGAAAAUUUUAUACAUGUUGAGUUGAAAAUAAUCUUUUGAAUGAGAAAAUUUCUUUCAAAAUGUAUUGAUUCAAUGUGAGUUUUAUCCUUACUAUAAUAUUUAUAAUAUUUGAGGUAAAACUCGAAAAUUUUCUGAUUUGGAUUUACAAAGUGGAAGAUCAAGUUUGGUGUGGAUUCCAAGUAUGUUCUAGAUAUAAAAAAAAAAAAAAGCUAGUAGUUGAAGUUUAAAGGUUCUAAACAAGUGGUAUGUGAGAUGAUUAAAGGCUUAGACUAGAUAAAUCUUUAUACUUGGUUAAUUUUCUUCACAAUAGAUGUUUUUGAUUGCCAAUAGACUCAUAGAUACCAAGACGAGAGUAACUCCAGAUUGAUACCAAGAUGGAUUUAACAGUUUAUCUUGCACAAAGGAAUGUCUGGAUGGAUUUCCGAAUAUGCCACUCCGAUGAUUAAAUCAAAGGAAGUUGACUUGAGCAAGAAAAUGUUGUUUUGGAAAGGUAGCAGCAUACCUUUCUGUGGACAUGGGUGGCUAUUUAUUUUUGAUCAUGUGUAACAUCUUUUUAGGCAUUUUAAUAACACCAUAAUUGCUUUUGAUUAUGCAUUAUUGUGGCAGUGAUUACCAACCCAUAAUGGUUAUUUUGCUUUGAUGAGCCUUAAAUAAUUGUGUCUUAUCCUUGUAACGGCUGCAUCAAUCAAGCUUGGAUGAAAAGAAUCCCUAGAUUCUGUCGUCUUUUCCAAGCCUUAUUUUAUUUUCUAUGGAUGUCUUUUGCUAGAUAAGAUAAGGAGGACCACUCUUCUACGCUCCUCUCCCACUUAUUGCGGCGGGCUCUACUCCUUAGCUUUCAAGCCCCUUGUAUAGUAAGGUUUGGAACCCUAUGGAAGAAAGUAUCAGCACGCACUAUGACUUCACUUUGGAAACUGGUAGUGGACGAUGAGGAGCGGAAGCCACUCUCCCUAAUCAAUAAGCAGGAGAGGAGCGAAGAGCUUUAUUGGAUACUUUACUUUAUAGCACGCCAUGUUUCACAGCCGCAUCGCCUCGGAUUUAGGGAUUUUUGUCGAAAUCCAGAAUGAAAACGGUCUUUCCAUUUGGAUUCUUAAUGCCUAAGUUCAGCAAGUAUAACGGAGUUGGUGAUCUUUUUAGGUGCAUCAUAAAAAGAGUCAGCGCUAUCUUUUCUCACCCACCAUGCGUAUCGGUACCCAUAGUAGUACAUUUUAGAGCAAUACUAGUUUCUAUCUUGAAAGAUCGAAGUUAUUUACCACUAAGAGUCCCGGUCUUUCUUAACAGUUGUAAGAGUAAUAUAAGUCUGGGUCUGACUAGGGGAACUAAUACUUUCUAGUCAAAAGUCUCAAUCUAUAUAGGCUAUAUAGCCUAUAUAGAAUUGGUAAUUUCUUGAUAUCUUUGGCAAGGGCUAUAUUUAGAAUACCAUAUAGCGGCGGGAUAAGGCAAGCGUUUUGAUCAAGCCCGUAUCAAGUUCCUUACGGAUUAGAGGUCAAACCCUGCUUUUUGUAUUAUUAUUAUUAGGCUCGUGUCUGGUGCACAAUUAAUGCUUGAAGGCGAUUUAAUGCUUUGAGGCAAGUCAAGCACCAUUCUCACUGUCCAAUCGUUUGGAAUAGUCUUUCUACUACCCUACACCUAGGUGAACUAUCCGUUCGGUUUUAUGUCCUCCUUUGAGACAGCGAUGGACAUAGACAAUUAUAGGGGACAAAAUGAGAAUGUGGACCCCACAAAUUUCCUUUCCAUUUCCUUGUUUGGCUACUUGGAAAAAGGUCGAAAAAACGUCUAGACUCUAGACCAUGGAUUGAUCCAAAACCAUUAAUUGGUUGCAUCUAGACCAUGAAUUGGUAUAUUUUUUCCAUCUGCCUUUCCUUGAAAACCCAUUUUUAUUUUUUAAUUAAUAAGAUUUAAUGAUGAAUAUCUUAGUUUUGUAAAAAUUAUAACAUUUGUUGAUAAGAAUUAUGUUUACGAGUAUUUUAAAAAUAUUUUUAUUAUAUAUAUAUAUAUAUAUAUAUAUAUAUAUAUAUAUAUAUAUAUAUAUAUAUAUAUAUAUUUCUUAGUUGUUUUAAAAUCCAAACAAAUCUUGAUUGCAAGUAUCAAAGUCAUAUUUGAAAGUUUUAUCAAAACAUUUUUAAAAAUUGCUUUUACUUUAAAAACUACUUUGAAUAGGUCAUAUAUGAAAAUUGUUGCUAAAUGUAACUUUCUACUCUAAAAAAUACAAAAAAAAAAUAAAAAAAAAAUGAAGUGUUUGGUAAACUUUAAAUAGAAAAUUGUAUUUUGAGAAUUUAUUUUAAAAAUAAAUUUGAGAUGUCUAUUUUUAGUAAUGUUAUUAACAGUUCAAAAAAUCAAUAAUACUUUGAAAUCUUUUUUAAUAUACGUAAGUGUUUGAUACUUUCAUCAAUAAGCCAAAAAAAACUGUUUUUCAUGUUUAAAAACAAUUGAAAGUUGUUUUUAAAUUCUUGUUUGGAUGGAUGUUUAAGAAACUAAGAAAUCUUUUUUAAGUUCAAUUAAGACCUGUAUGCCUCUUUGACUUAUUUUGUUGAAAGCGUUUAAAUUUAAAAAUAAAAAAUAAAAAAUAAAAAAUAAAAAAUAAAAAUUCGACUAAAUAUAUUUAACUCUAUAUGUUUGAAAUUUCAUUUAAUACAUCUUCUAUCCUUUUCAUUCCUUAUUUUCACUCACCCCCAUUUUCAUUCAAAAUAAGAGAGGUGUAUAAUAAAAUUUAAAUUUAUGGGGGUUAAAUGUAUUUAGUCAAAGCUUCAAGGAAGAUAAAUGAAAUUAACCCUAAAAAAAAAAGGCUUAAUAUAGAAGCCAAUAAAUAUUUCUUAUCAUAUUAAUUCUAUUUUAUUUUACAUAAGAAAUUUUUUCAAGUUUGAGCUAAAGUAAAGAAUAGUAAGUUAUUCCAAACAAGGUUUAUGAAUUAUUCAAAAAAAUAACAUAUUCAUAAUAAAUUUUAUAAGUCUACUCUUAUCAUUAUUUAUCUUAAAGAAUGGGAGUAGGAAUUAUCUAUUAUUAAUCUAUCAUUUUGCAAAACUUAUGUUCAAACUAACACCUUUAUUACCACAUAGGAACCAUAUCAUGCCCCAAAACCCACUCCAAGGGCAUGACAGUCAUUUCACACCUCAAGCCAAAAGGCUCAAAGUGGAAACAAUACAAACAUUCGUAUUGUAACUGAAAAUUUACCAAUUACCAAAUUCUUGUUCAAAGUAGUAGGACAUAAUUCUAAAUUCUCCAAGUAUCAACUUUAAAAAAUACUAAUACAUCAACCAAAGUGUUAUUGUCUAAAUAACUCCAAACUCAAAAUAAUUCAAACCAAAAUUAAGUUUUAACAUCUAAAAAAUGUCCAAAAUAAAGAGAGUUUAAACAAAUGUCCUAAUAAAGUCAAAUUUCCCUCUUAACGGUCAUUCGUCGCCCGAACUGAGGUUACUUGAAAGAUUAUGAAUAAAGGAAGAUGAGCUCAAAGCCUAAUAAGGAACAUUAAUAUAGUUUCAUGGAUUAAACAUUUUCAAUCAUGCUUGUAAAUAGGAGAUAUAACAUGUAUUUAUUUUCAUAAAAACUUUUGACUUCAAAAUACUAAUAUAUUCAAACUUUUCAACAAAACUUUCUCAUAUCCAUUUCAAAACAAUUUCUCAUCAAAAUCAAAUCGAAUACAUUCAAAAUAUAUUUAUUCUGGUUAUCGUAUGACAAAUGGUGCCCAAUUAGGUGGGACUUCAUAAUUGAGUAACUAGUUUCAAAUGUGUUCCAUUUAAGGUGAACAAAACCAAAUGUCAACAAUUAUAACCUGUUGACUAAGGCCAUAAGGUCAACUAUUAUAACUAGUUAACUAGGACCAUAUAACAUCAACUAUUAUAAUCGUUGAUUAGGACCAAAAAUGUCAACAAUUAUAACUCGUUGACUAGAGCCAUAUAAUCAAGAGUCAAACACUUCAUUUCAUUAAUUCAAAUUUACAAAACAAAACAUCAUAUCUUCUCAAUUUUUCAUUUUUCAUAAACAAAGAAAAGACUCAAAUAUACUUUCCAUACAAAACAUAUAUUUGAUCCAUGCGUAAAAAUAAAAAUAAUAUUUUUACACAUUUCAAAAUACAAAAUAAAAAAAAAUAUUUUCUUUUAUAAAAAUUUGCAUUAAUUUCCCUUACCUUGAAAAAAUGCUUAAAAACUUGAAGUAUUUACCUUGAUGAAUUUACUCCUCACCUAACAUAAUAUCAUACACAAUUAUCUAAAGGUAAAAAUUUGACAAUCCUAAAAAUAUCUUAUUUAGUAUUAGGGAUCCUAAUUAAUUUCCCAUGCUAAUAUUAUUACUACCCAAUAUUAUUUUCAACUUCUUAAACAAUAAUAAUAUAACUUAAUGAAUUUCCAAAUUUUUUAUAAACUCUGUUAGACAAAUUAGGCUAAUCCAACCUAUGGUAAUCACCCUAGAGGGGGGAGGGGUGAAUAGGGUGAUAGUCUCUUUUUUCAAAUUUAAACUAUGUGAAUGUAAGAGACAAUUAUAUGUAAGUAUAUAAUAAGCAAUAUAAAGACAAUUGCAUAUAAAUUAAAAGAAUAGGGAAGAGAGAAUGCAAACAUAAGAUUUUAUAGUGGUUCGGCGCAACCCGACCUACAUCCACUCUCCUCUAGCUUCAAUCCCAAGCUUGAGGUUCCACUAAUUCAAGGCCUCCAAACCAAGCCUUCAAGCAAUACAAUUGGAUUAUGGUUCCAAUUCACCCUCUUGGACUUUUGGCUCCAAGCACCCUUUAUACUUCUCAAGAGAUAUCCCACUCUUGAACAAUCCCUCAAGUGAUACCUCACACUUGAGAAAUUUUCUCUCAAAGAUUUACUGAUUCAUGCCCAAUUGGUGUCUCAGUUGAUUCGUGUCCAGCUGGUGCUCCUUGAUUGAGGGAGUAAUCAACAAAAUUUAUAACCUAUUACACCAUAUACUAGGGUAGCAAAGAAAAAGCUACUAUAGCAUAGUGGCUCUAGGAUCGUUCACUGGGAAGGGUUUCCAAAUUACAAAUGAUACCAAUUCAAAGUGAAUUGGUGCUUUUUCAUUUCAAGGUUAGCUUAAGAAAUAAAACACAAACUUUGGUUGAAAAAGAUUUAGAUUUAAGCUAACGGCAAAACAAGUAAUGGAAAUUACUUAUAAAGAAAAAACAUUCCUUGGAGAUUUAGGUUCACAGGGGAGGUUCCUCAUGCAAAAACAUAGCUCCGGUCAGUUGGUUCAUUUCCUCGCAUUAGAGAAUUAACAUAUAGUCAAUUCUCUAAUCAGUGCUGUAUAAAUGCAUUCCUUAAUUGGAUUUUAGCUCUAAUUCCCUCUCAUUGAUGCAACUUGCAAUGGUUCAUGCCUCUCACUAGCACUUACCAUUCAAGGUGAUCUUUAACCUUGGACUUCCCUUCAAAAGCUCGCAAGAGAUAACUAAUGGAUGUCUCCUUGGAGUCCAAAAGCUUACCAAGUGUUGGCACUUCUAGAAAAUCCUACCUUCAAGUCACCUCCCAGAGGCUCGCAAGGGGUAAACUAGUGCAUCUCCGUGGAUAGAGAUCACUUGCCUUACCAAGUGUUGGCCCAGGUGACUCCAAGGCGUUUUAAGUUAAUUAAAAACAUAUAGAAAUCACAAAAGGAUAACACUUACUCUUCAUUCAUGGCUGAAACCACAAAGCUACUAAUUCAUGCACUUGGAACCUUUCCCGACAACCUUAACUCCAAGGAACUAAAGGUUUAGUUACUCAUGCUAUGGGGAAACUCCCUCAGAGAAUUCAUAACUAGUAAAUAAAAAAUACAAUCAAAGUGAGAAGGUAAGACAAAGAUAAGCUCUGUAUUUUACUUCCUUACAAACUUUUACAAAAAGUUUCGUCUCUCUUGAGAACAAGCUCUCAAGAAGCUAUUUAUAUGAAAAAUUACAAUACUAAUUAUUACAUGGAUAUUUAGUCUUUUUCCUAACUUAAAAGCUAAGGAAACUUAUAAUUGGUGGCUUACAAGGAGAAUUUUGGGAUUUAGACAACAAAAAUCUGAUGAAAAAUAUCCCCAAGUGUCGGUCGUAAAUAUCGGGAAGCACUAAGGACCAUUUCGCAGGUGCAAACGAGGUCUGCGAGAUUUCGCAGAUGCACAAAAAGGGCUGCGAAAUCACUUUGUAGCAAACGGCUGAUUUCGCAACGCUGCGAAGUGGUCUUUCAGCUUGCGGUGUUCGGCUUCCAACGUGACGAGAAACUUCAGGGGGAAAUCCACAACACUGUACAAAAAGGCUGCGAAAUCAUUUCGCAACAAAAGGGUGAUUUCGCAGCGCUGUGCAAAAUUCUUCCUUCAGCUUGGAGUGAUCGGCUUGCAAUGGCUGUAACUUCUUCAUUUCAACUCCAAAUUGUGCACCGUUUAAAGCAUUGGAUUUUUAACUUCCUGAGCUUCAAAAUGACAUAUAGCAUGUAUAAAUUGGACUUCAGGAAGUGCUCCAAAAUUGGCUGACAUGACUGUCAUCAAGAAUACUUCAUGGCAGAUUUCUCUUUGCUUCCUCUCCUUGCAUUCUGUAUUUGCUUAUGGCAAAGGACUUCAAAGCUUUGGUUCUUCAUGUUUCUGAGCUUUCCAUUGCUUUGCCAUGGAUUCCAAAUAAUUAUCCUCAAUCUCGGAUUGCUUUGGUGAUCAAAAAGCUAUCAAAACACCAAAACUUAACACAAUUUGAUUAGAAUUGAUUGCAAAGGUCUUUAAUAUGUUAAUUGGGUUAAAAGGCAAUAACUACUACUCAAAAGUGUUUAAAAGAGUUAAUUACAAGCUAUGAAAUAGCACUUUUUGAGUAGUAAUCAUUUACAAAUAAACGAUCUCACAAAAUCCUAGUACAAAAACUUUAAGCUCAAAUGAUACAAGAAUACUAGGAUUGAAAGGUGCACUAAAGAUAUGCAAGUUUUAGAACAAUGGUGCACUAAAAAACACUCUUCCAAGACUCAAAUAUAUUCAAGAAAGGUUUGGGAAGGUUAAACUUUUUAAACAAUGAAGAUUAAAGCUUUUUUAUAAAAGAGAAAAGCCAAACUAGUCGUUUGGGGGUUCGACCGGUCGAGUUAGGGGUCGACCGGUUGACUAGCCGUUAGCAUUAAAUGUUUGGCAAGUGAUCGUUGGGCCUCAGCUGGACCUCUACCGAUCCUCGAUCGGACCUCAAUCAGGAAGAGAAUCACCUCAAUCGGGAAGAGAAGGCCACUGGGAGAGAGAGAGAGAAAAAGUUUUUGGCAUCCCUCGACCGGUCCUUGACUGGACAAGCACAACCAUUUGACUGGUUCCUCAACCAAUUCAACCGAUUGAGCCAUUUUUUGGCUCAACAAACAACGUUUUCAACUUAAAACCUUUUCAAACAAGUUUGAAAAACAUUUAACAUAAGGUUUUAGUUGAAAACAUGAAAUCAUCCAAUUCUUAAAAUAUUUAAAAAAAAAAAUAACUCUUGGAUGAUUUUGGUGCAUAAGUAAAGAAUGUAAUGCAUGAAAAUCCUAGUGCACCAACAACUUUACAAAGAAAUCUUAUGAAGCUUGGGUCUUGAAAAACACUUCUCUUUGAGGUGGUCUUCUUCUUCAUGAUUUUUCCUUGGCUUGAUUUGUCUUUGUGAUUGCCACUUUGGAAAUCGUCUUGCCUAAUCACACUUGAAAUAUAAUCAUUAGUUCUAAACCUUGUUUUGUUAUCAUCAAAAUCAAGAUUAACCAAACCUUGGUUUCACAAACUCAUUUCUUCCAAAUCUUAUUUUAACCAAUUAUUUCUUUUGUAUACUUAAACUAAAUUAAAACUUUUAUUAAAAACAAUUACUAUUGUUAUUACUAUAUUUUUAGAUACCCCGUAACAUCCAAAUAGCCCUACUGUACGUCACUCACAAGCAUCCAAAUCACACAAUUCUUACUAUUAUCAUUAUUCUUAUUAAUCCCAACUAUUAUUAUUAUUAUUAUUAUUAUUAUUAUUAAUCUUACGUCACCUACAAGCAUCCAAAUCACACAAUUCUUACUAUUAUCAUUAUUCUUAUUAAUCCCAACUAUUAUUAUUAUUAUUAUUCUUAUUAAUCUUACGUCACCUACAAGCAUCCAAAUUACACAAUUCUUACUAUUAUUAUUAUUAAUAUUAUUAUUAUUAUUAUCAUUAUUUUUAUUAAUCCCAAUGUCCUUUCUUACUUAACAAAAUACCCCAGGUACUUUUAACAACCCCACCAACUCUACUCAUUAUUAUUAUUUUAAUUUAUUCCACUACCACUCUUUGCCUCUCACGGUGACCUAUUAUUAUUAUUAUUAUUAUUAUUAUUAUUUUGUCACCCCAACACAGUGCCUCAAAUCCAAAAUCCAGAAUCAUACAAUUCUUCUUAUUAUUAUUUUUCAAUCCCUUAAGCCACAUAUAAUCAUAUAUUUAUUUACUCAUUUAAUUUUUAAAAUUUCAUUGUUUAAAUCUAUUGAUUACUACCAAAAAGUGCUAUUUUGUAGACCUAAUUAUAAUGGUUUUAAGCACCUUUGACUAGUAAUCAUAUUCAUUUAACCCAAUUAAUUCAUUAAGGUCCUUAGUAAUUGGUUUUAACCAUUUUGUGGCAAGUUUACAUGUUUUUAUCAGCUUAUGAAUCAAUUCAAGCAUGCCAAAUGAUGGAGGAGCUACUUGGACAAGUUAUGGCAAAGCUUUUAGAAGCUCAAAUUCAUGAAGAACCAAGCUUUGGAGCUCCAUAGCCCUUUUCCAAAGUCGUUCAAAGUAUGCAAGGAAAGAACAAUGGAGAAGAGGAAAACAAAGUGAAGAAAAGAGAGGACAGCAGCUGUAGUCUUCUUUCGCACUUUUGGAGCACUUCCCGAAGUCAAUUUUUUACAUACUAUAUACCAUUUCAAAGCUCUGGAAGUAAAAAAUCCAACACUUCAAACCGUGCAUGAUUUGGAGUUGAAAUGAGGAAGAUAUGGCCUUCGGAAGCCAACUGCUCCAGGUUAUGCGAAAAUUUCACAUAACACCUUCAAAAUUCGCAUAACCCAUGCGUGUUGCGAAUUUUCCUCUGUUUUUGCUGACUCCACUUUAGAUAUUUUCCUUUGUAUUUUGUGAUGUAAUUUCCUUUCUUAUCCUUGUAACUAACCAAUCACAAGCUUUUGCUUUUGUAAAGACUAUAUAAGGGGUGGAAAUCACCUCUUGGAAUAUAGAUAAUAUAUAUUACGUUUGACACUUAGAAUAUUUACAGAGCUCUCCCGUUUCUAUUUUCUUAGUAGCCAAACAGCCUCUAAGGGCUUUUCCUCAGAGGAUGAUUGGCUAAAACUUUUAGUUUCUCAAAGUAUGGAUGUUAUGUGAUGGCUUGGAUGCAAUCCCAUGGAAAUUUCUCACACCCGGAAGGUAAGGUAGUCGUUUUUCAUUAAAGGUUCAUUAAUGCAAAGUUUGGUUUUUAUUUCCUUUGGACAACUUCCAACGGCCAAUACUUGAUAAGCUUUUGGAUUUCUAUCCAUUAGUUAUCUCCUACGAGCUAUUGGAAGGUGAGGUUUUCAAUUCUAAGUUUUGUAUUAAUCCGUUAGANNNNNNNNNNNNNNNNNNNNNNNNNNNNNNNNNNNNNNNNNNNNNNNNNNNNNNNNNNNNNNNNNNNNNNNNNNNNNNNNNNNNNNNNNNNNNNNNNNNNCUCUGUUUUUGCUGACUCCACUUUAGAUAUUUUCCUUUGUAUUUUGUGAUGUAAUUUCCUUUCUUAUCCUUGUAACUAACCAAUCACAAGCUUUUGCUUUUGUAAAGACUAUAUAAGGGGUGGAAAUCACCUCUUGGAAUAUAGAUAAUAUAUAUUACGUUUGACACUUAGAAUAUUUACAGAGCUCUCCCGUUUCUAUUUUCUUAGUAGCCAAACAGCCUCUAAGGGCUUUUCCUCAGAGGAUGAUUGGCUAAAACUUUUAGUUUCUCAAAGUAUGGAUGUUAUGUGAUGGCUUGGAUGCAAUCCCAUGGAAAUUUCUCACACCCGGAAGGUAAGGUAGUCGUUUUUCAUUAAAGGUUCAUUAAUGCAAAGUUUGGUUUUUAUUUCCUUUGGACAACUUCCAACGGCCAAUACUUGAUAAGCUUUUGGAUUUCUAUCCAUUAGUUAUCUCCUACGAGCUAUUGGAAGGUGAGGUUUUCAAUUCUAAGUUUUGUAUUAAUCCGUUAGAACCAACUUCAAUGGCCAUUGAAAGGUGAGUUUAUCACCUAGAAUGACUUUAAGUUGCCAAUAUUUGGUAAGCUUUUGGCUUUAGACCAUUAGUUAUCUCUUACGAGCCAUUCAAAGGAAGUCUAAGGUGAAUAACCAUUGAUGAAAUUCACUACCAUCUGUUUUGUCAUUUUAAAGGAUUAAAACUUGAUUUGCUAAAUCCAUACCGGUUCGGGAAGCAAGCAUCACCAUAGUUGCAACCCCAACGCGAGGAGCCUAUCCUGAGAUUUCCAAUUUGCAUAAGAGCCAGAGCAUAGCUAUCCUAUCUUUGAGAAACUUGUUUUUACACCCUUUCAUUUUAGUCUUUAAUGUUAGCUUAGAUUAGUUUAAAUCUUUCUAAAACAUUUACAUCUUCUUUUAAAGCUAACAUCCAUAAGAAAAUCACCUAUUUUCCUAAUUUGAAUAUCACUAGUGUUUGCGAAAACCCUUCCCAGUGAACGAUCCUAGAACCACUAUGCUAUAGUAGCUUGACUACUUUAGUAAUAGUAUUCAAGGUAUAAAUUUUGUUGAUACGCCUUUAAAGCUAAGCUACCAUGAGUCGAAUCAUCUAUUCAUUUAAAAAAAAUUCGAAUUUCCUUAUUUUCAUCAAUGAAACAACCUAUAUUCAUAAUUUCAAAUUUUUGAUCUUAAAAUAAAUUAACUAAACUAACUCUAAUCUAAAUUAAAAUUUUCUAAAGAAUAUUUAAUGUAUUCAAAACUAACUAACAAAUAUAAUAUAUUAAUUUAGGGUUAGAAUCUUAUUUAGAAAAAAUUUCAACUUCAAACUUUAGACCUUCAAAUCUUUAACUCUAUGUUUUCCAAUUCUCUGAUUUUGUUUUUUUUGUUUUUUUUUUUUGUUAAUAGAGUUUUCUGAAUAAAGAAGGCAAGAUGAAAAAUCUAAUUUAUACUACGGGUUAUUAAUUGUAAAAUGACUCUUUUAUCUUUAAUGAGUUUAAUUAAUUAAUUAAUUAAUUUAUAAUUUACUAUUUUGCCCCUAAAAUUUAUUUUUGGGUGUUACAACCAUGUCAUAAAAAAUAUGUUAGAAAAUAAAAGCUAUGCUUAAAGGAGAAAAACACCCAAGAGGGGGGUGAAUUGGGUUUUUCAAAAAACUUUUUCAAUACAACAAAUUCAAGCACAAUAUAAACAAGAAAUAAAGAGAUAGAGUUAGAGAAUUCAAACUCAGAUUUUAUAGUGGUUCGACACUUCUUUGCCUACGUCCACUCUCCUCAAUCUCCUAACCAAGUGAGGGUUUCACUAGCUUGAAGCUUCAACCAAGCUUCCAAUCCUUUACAUUUGGAUUCUGACUCUAAUGGGCUUUUACACAAUAUCUUCAAGAUUCAAACCUCUUGAAGUCUUUAACACUCAAGUUUUACAAGAAAGAAUCCCUCAACCUAGCUCAAAUACAAAACAAAGCUAGGAUGACUCACAAUGGUGCACUAAAAAAUAUGCAAGUGAUGGUUUAAUGCACUAAGAAAUAAAUGAGAACUUUUAAUCCAAGAACAGGUAGGUAGACAAUUGAUUGUAGGUGUUCUCUAUGUCAUAAAUGAAGUGGAGCUCUCAAUUUAUAGGUUUCUAAACUCGAGAGCCAAAAACAGCAAAAGGCAGCCUCGACCGGUCGAGCUGGGGGUCGACUGGUUUACUAGCCGUUGAAGCAUUUAAUGCUUUGGUAGGUUACCGUUGCCUCGACCAAAGGUCGACCGGGAAUAAGUGAACCUCAAUCGGGAAGAAGAAGCUAUUGGAUGAGAGAGAGUAUUUUUGGCAUUCCUCGACCCGACCUCAAUCUGACAAGGGCAAUCGGUCGACCGGUUCCCUAACCGGUUGAGUCGGUUGGCCAGAGCCUCGACCAGUUCAGCCUUUUGGCCCUGAAAACCUAUCAUUUUCAAUCCCUUUCUUUUCUAACACUUAAGCAAGGUCUUUAGGUAAAUUAAUAAGCCAAUUUUAAAACAUUUUGCCUAAGAUACAUUUGAUAAAACUUGGGUUUUAAUGAAAUCGAAAUUUUAAAGAAUAAACCGAGUUUUCAAAUAUGCAUGAAAAGGUAUGAAAAACCUAAGUGCACCCAUGCAUUAAUCUUACAUUCGUUUCCUAUUAUCAAAAUUCUUCCAAUAGUCUCAAUCUUGUAUCCCUUUGGUCCUUUGAUGAAUUUCCGAAUUUAUACUUGAGAUUCUUUAUCAUUCAAACCAAUUAGUCACUUAACCAUGGUUUGUUAUCAUCAAAAUCCGAUUGGGGGAACCCUUGGGCUAACAAUCUCCCUCUUUUUUAUGAUGACAAAUCUUGGUUAUCUAGGAGAAAAAGAAAUCUCCCCAUCAAACUAAUCAUGGAUCAAUUAAUUCAAAAUUUAUGAAUUUAAAAUCGAGAUAAUCAGAACAUGCGAAUUUUCAAUAGGAAACAAUGUAAAUCAUGAAAAUAGCAUAUCAUAUAUAGUAAAGUCAAAUGUACACGAAACAUCCAAAUAGAUGAUAUGAUAAUGAUAUGCAUGUAUAGGUCUCCUAGAUCCUAAAUAUCUCUCCCCCUUUGGCAACAUCAAAAAAGAAAAGAAAUGGGUCUCGAUGAAAUCAAGGUUGAGGAGGUGGAAGUGGAAACACUGAGUGUAGAUAAGCCAUCAUCUCCUCAUGCUAACUCUCCUGGCAACUCUCAAUGCACUCAAUCCUCUACUGAAGAUGCUCAAAUGUAGCCUACUACUGAUCCAUACGAUCCUUUAUAUGCUCAAAUCCCUACUACAGAUGUUCAAACUGAGAUGAGAAGCCAGUUUGAUAGUGAUCAAUGCGAUCCUCUAUAGAAUAGAAUCCGGUAUCAAUGACUACUGCGAGCUCCUCCAUAUGAGUGCCAAGUAAACUGAUCUAAGCAGAUAAAUCCAUCAAAGGCGCAUGAUCAAGAGCGUGAGGUGUCUGAUGAGAUGGUAUCUCUGUGUAAGGAAGCUCAGUGAAAGAUGGCUAAGAGGAUGGUCCCGUUGUGUAAGUCGGCUCAAACAUCAUAGGCUCAAAGAAUGUGGCCUCAAAUUGAACACCCUCUGACUGGAGUGCAAGAAUGUCGAGAUCAGGUUCUCUCUGCUCAAAGCCUCUCUAAAGGUUUAACCCACCCUCCAUCUCACAAAUCUUGGCCUCCUCCUCUGCUCCGGGAUGCACCUAUCCCUGUCCUCGGACCUAUGUUGGUGGUCGGUCAGCUCUCCUAAUCCAGGAGCCAUCAGGGGCCUUCUCAAACUUCAUCCGCCCCAAGGACUACUCAUCAUAAGUGUCAUAAAUACUAGGGGCCUCGAAGUCUAUCUCUCUGCUAAAAUCAACCCCGACAUCCUUGAAUACUCUAGUAAGGAAGCGACCGUAGGGGAGUACUCGGGUCAUGCUCUCGCAGCAUGAUAUCAUGUGCAUCAUCAUCAGAUACCUCACAUGAAUUCGUCUCCCCGUUAGAAUGGAGUCCACAAGGAAUGCAUCAAGAUAGGAGACCUCAUCUUGGUGUCCACCUCGUGGCAAUAGGAUGGAGCAGAUCAUGUGAUGAAGGACUCGGCUGAUCAUGGUCAGGCUAUGUGUCGAUGGUUUGCCCAUCCCCUAGGUGUCUGCAAAGCCGCACAUCCUCUGAAUAGCCUUUCUAGGCUCGAAACCCAGCAUAGUGGUCCAAGCCUUGGACUCAUACACCCUAAGUCCAAUCGAAGGAAUGUCAAAAAUAUGGAAAAUGCUCUCCUGGUUCAGCUGGAUCUCAACACCUCUAAUAGUGGAAAUGAUCGGUCCUCCAAGUCCAUAGGUCACUCGUGAAUAGAAUGCACACACCAGAGUCAGGAAAAUUGGCUCAGAAAUAGUCACUACUGGAAGCCAUCCCAUCAAUCCGAAAAGUCCCUCAAACCCAAAAUACUGAAGUUGGGAGAAAUUGAUCCUUUUCCUGCCAUUUUCAGUUGAAAUCUGCAAUUUUUUACGUUCAAUGCCAAGGGAAUUUUGAUUUUUGGUCAAAAUUUGACCAUUUUCCUAAGUAUAUGUCUAUAUGCUGCAUAUAAUAUGAAAUUCAUGCAAUCAUAAGGUAUAUUCAUCAAGCAAUCAUUUGAUCAUAAAGAAAUCACCCCUAGUUGUCUUCUAAUAUCAACAAAUUGUUCUUCACUUAGAGGUUUCGUAAAUAUAUCGGCAAGUUGAUCUUUUGUGCUUACAAAUUCAAGUGUAAUGUCACCCUUUUGUACAUGGUCUCUAAGAAAAUGAUGUCUAAUUUCUAUAUGCUUAGUCCUAGAGUGUUGCAUGGGAUUUUUUGAAAUAUUUAUGGCACUUGUGUUAUCACAUUUAAUAGAAACAUGCUCAAAAGACAAAUUGAAAUCACUAAGUGUUUGUUUCAUCCAAAGAAUUUGUGCACAACAUAAACCGGCUACUAUGUAUUCUGCUUCCGUCGUUGACAAAGCUGCCGAAUUUUGCUUCUUACUAUGCCAUGAAACAAGUGAGUAUCCUAGGAAAUGACAAGUGCCACAAGUGUUUUUUCUUUCAACUUUACAACCGGAAAAAUCGGUAUCCGAGAAUCUAAUUAAUUCAAAGUUAUCACCCUUAGGAUACCAUAAGUCUAUGUCCAUCGUCCCUUUCAAAUAUCUAAGGAUUCGUUUUACGACACUUAAGUGAGAUUCUUUAGUACAAGAUUGAAAUCUAGCACACAAGCAUACACUAUACAUGAUGUUGGGUCUAUUAGUGGUCAAAUAUGGCAAAGAACCUAUCAUGCCUCUAUACAUAGUUGAUUCAAUGGAUUUACUUUUCUCAUCCUUAUCAAGCUUGAUGGAUGAGCUCAUUAGAGUCUUCAUUGUUUUGGCUUCUUCCAUGUUGAACCUUUUGAGAAGAUCUCUUAUAUAUUUUGCUUGAUUGAUGAAGGCUCCUUCCUUUUGUUGUUUGAUUGAAGUUCAAGGAAGAAGUUGAGUUUUCCCAUUAUGCUCAUUUCAAACUCACUAUGCAUGCACUUAGAAAAUUCUUCACAAAGAGAUACAUUAGUAGCUCCAAAAAUAAUAUCAUCAACAUAUAUUUGAACUAAGGGCAUGUCAUUUUCUUUGGUCUUUAUGAAAAUAGUUGUGUCAAUUUUUCCCAUUUUAAAACCCUUUUUCAAAAUAAAUUUAUUCAAUCUUUCAUACCAAGCUCUAGGUGCUUGUUUCAAAUCAUAAAGUGUCUUUUUAAAUUUUAAAAACAUGGUUAGGAAAGUUAAAACUUUGAAAACCAGGUGGUUGUUCAACAUAUACUUCUUCAUUUAUAAAGCCAUUUAAGAAAGCACUUUUUACAUCCAUUUGAUAUAAAACAAAGUCUUUAAAACAUGCAAAGGCAAGUAGCAUCCUAAUGGCUUCCAAUCUAGCUACAAGGGCAAAAGUUUCUUCAUAAUCUAUCCCUUCUUCUUGAUUAAAACCUUGGGCUACCAAUCUUGCUUUAUUUCUAACAAUUAUGCCAUUUUCAUCCAUUUUAUUUCUAAAGACCCAUCUAGUUCCAAUAACACUUUGAUUUGAAGGUCUUGGCACUAAUUCCCAUAUUUCACUUCUUUUAAAUUGAUUUAACUCUUCUUGCAUAGCAAUCAUCCAAUUUUCAUCAACUAGAGCAUCAUUUAUAUUUUUAGGUUCAAUUUGAGAGAUAAAAGCAAGAUUAUUGCAAAUAUUUCUAAGAAAUGAUCUAGAUCUAGUUCUUACCCCACUAGAUGGAUUACCUAUAAUUUGAUCUUGUGGGUGGUUGAUGACAAACUUCCAACCUUUAGGAAGGUCUUGGCUUGAUUCACCUUGCACUUGUUGAGGAGAGGGUAGUGCUAAUGGUGAUUCUUCUUUAUUGGGAUCCUUUCCAAUUUCUUCUUGUUGCCUUCUAUCUUCAAUUUGUAAUUUUCUCAUGAAAGUCUCCAAGUCUAAAUCAUCAUCAAAACUCUCUCUUUCUUGGAGAGAAUUGUUAUAUUCAUAAAAUAACAUGGAUGGACUCCUAUACAACCAUGGUUCUUUUGUUAAAAACUCUAAAGGUUUUACUUGAAGUUGAGUAACCAAGAAAAAUUCCAACAUCUAAUUUUGCAUCAAAAUUUCCAAGAUUGUCUUUGGUGUUUAAUAUAAAACAUUUUCACCCAAAGACUUUGAAAUAGCCAAUGUUGGGUUUCUUGUUUUUCCAAAGCUCAUAGGGAGUUUUCUUAAGAAUGGACCUCAAUAAUAUUCUAUUUAAAACAUAACAAGAAGUGUUAACCGCUUAGGCACAAAAAUAUUUUGGUAAAUUGUUUUCAUUUAGCAUGGUUCUAUCCAUUUCUUGAAGGGUUCCAUUUUUCCUUUCCACUACCCCAUUUUGUUGAGGAGUUCUAGGAGCCGAAAAAUUGUGGUUAAUACCAUGCUCAUUGCAAUAGUCUUCAAAAUUAAUAUUUUCAAUUUCUCUCCCAUAAUCACUUCUUAUACAAGUAAUUGUAAAACCUUUUUCAUUUUGAACCUUAUUGCAAAAUUUUGAAAACUCAUAAAAGGCUUCAUUCUUUUGACUUAAAAACAAGACCCAAGUGUAUCUAGAGAAUUCAUACACAAUAACAUAUGCGUAAGAUUUUCCUCCAAGGCUUGGUGUCCUAGAGGGACCAAAUAAGUCCAUAUGCAACAACUUGAGAGACCUAAUUGUUGAAAUGAAAAAAUUGUUUUUAAAAGAGUUUUUUAUUUGCUUUCUCAUUUGACAAGCUUCACAAACCUUGUCUUUUUGAAAAUUUAUUUUGGGAAGGCUUCUAACAAGUUCAUCUUUGUUGAGUUGGGAAAUGAGGUCCAUGUUAGCUGAUUGCGUGCCUAGCUAGUGUACCUUGAUUUUGGCCCUCAAACAGGAGUAAUCAACUAGUAUAACAUAGUGGCUCUAGGAUCGUUCACUAGGAAGAGUUUUCAACUUACUAUUGACAUUAAUUCAAAGUUGAAUUGAUGCUUUUUCAUUUCAAGGUUAGCUUCAAAAGAAAACAUAAACUUUGGUUUAAAAAGGAUUAGUUUUAAGCUAACUAAAAUAAGGUAAUGGGAAUUUACUUAUAAAGAAAAGCGUUUCUUGGAGUUUUAGGAUCAUUGGGGUCAAGCUCCUCAUGCAAAAAUAGAGUUCUGGUCACUUGAAUCUUUUCAUCGCAUUAGAGAAUUAACAUAUAGUUAUUUCUCUAACCGGUGUGGUACAGAUGCUCCCCUUUUAUGGAUUCAAACACUAAAUCUCUCUUACUGAUUCAUUUUGCAAUGACUCGUGCCUCUCACCUAGCAUUUGCCAUUCAAGGUGAUCAUUAACCUUGGAUUUCCCUUCUCAAGCUCAUAAGAGAUAACUAAUGGAUGUCUCCUUAGAGUCCAAAAGCUUACUAAGUGUUGGCAAUUCUAGAAAAUCCUACCUUCAAGUCACCUCCCAAAGGCUCGCAAGAGAUAAACUAGUGCAUCUCAAUGAACGGAGAUCACUUGCCUUACCAAGUGUUGGCCCAGGUAAUUUAAAGGCGUUUUAAGUUAACUAAAAACAUAGAAACCAUUAACGGGUCACACUUUCUCUUCAUUAAUAGCUGAAACAACAGAACUCUUAAUUCUUGCAUUCGGCACCUUACCCAGCUACCUUAGCUCCAAGAGACAAAAAGUCUAGCCACUCAUUCUCUGAGGAAACAUCCUCAGAGCUUGUUUGGCUAGUAAGAAAAAUACAAUCAAAGUGAGUAGGUAAGGCAGAGUAAAGCUCUAUAUAUUACUUUCUUCAAAACUAUACAAAAAGUUGUCUCUGAGAACAAGCUCUCAAGAGAUCCUUUGUGUAAUGAAAAUUAAAAACAAUAUAUAUGAGGUUAUUUACCCUUUGUCCUUACUUAUUAACUAAGGAAUCCAAUGAUUGGUGGAUUACAAUGAGAAAAUGGGGAUUUAAACAACAAAUAUCUGAAGAAAAAAAUCUAAAAGUGUCGGUCGCAAAUAUCUAGAAGCACUCAGGAGGAUUUCGCAGGCAUGCAAGAUGGCUGUGAAAUUUCGCAAGCUGAAGGUCUCCAUUUCGCAGCCAAGGGCCCAUUUCGCAGCGAUCACCUUGUGAUUUCACAGCUACGAAAUUGGCCUUCAGCUUGGUGUGAUUGGCUUCCAAUCACUAUAACUUCUUCAUUUCAACUCCGAUUCACGCACCGUUUAAAUCGUUGGAUUUUUGACUUCCAGAGCUUCGAAAUGACAUAUAGUAUGCAUGAAAUGGACUCCAAGAAUUGCUCCAAAAGUAUCCAACAGUUGCUGUCCUCUUGAAUUCUUCAUGUUAGAUUUCUCUCUUUGCUUUCCCUCCUUGCAUUCAUGAUUUGCUUAUGGCAAAGGACUAUAAAGCUUUAAAGCUUAGGUUAUUCAUGUUAAUGAGCUUCCAAAUUCUUUGCCAUUGAUUCCAUAGAACUCUCCUCAAUCUUGGAUUGCUUUGGUGAUCAAAAUACUAUCAAAAACACCAAAAAUUAACACAGUUUGAUUAGAAACGAUUGCAAAGGUCCUUAAUUUGCUAAUUGAGUUAAAAGGUAAUAAUUACUACUCAAAAGUGUUUAAAAGAGUUAAUUACAAGCUACAAAAUAACACUUUUUGAGUAGUAAUCACUCUCCCCAACCGACAUAUUGCUAGUCCCCUAGCAAAAGGAGAGAAAAAGGAAAAUAAAUAGUAAUAUACUUUACAAAAUCAUGUUGAUCACUUCAAAAAAUUUUAAGUGGCAUGAUGAUCAAACUCUGACAUGGAACAUUAAAGAUAUAAAACUCAAACUUCAACAAGAGUUAUCAAAUACUUUGCCUAAUCACAAUUCAUAAAGAAAAGACAUUAUGCAAAUUGAAGCUUUAAAAUCAUUUCCACUUCCAAAGGGUCAAACCUUACUCUUCCACAAAAAUCUAAGUGUUACUUGAUAGCUUCCGAAUAUUGUAUGCUGAACUAAUAUCUCCCCCCAACCUAGUUUUUUUUUUCAACACUUAGCAAACUGACAAAAUUUAAUAGGUUAAGAACGCACCCUUUUGUUUCACAAUUUUUUUCAUUGUAGGAGUACAAAGCUUAAAGGUAUUCUUUUCUAAAUUGUCCAUGUAACGAGGGUCCAUCGAUGACUCCCAAUCAAUUAAGGUUUAGGGCAUCAAGCUUUAAGGAUCUUUCAACCACUAACUCCUCGUAUUUUACCCCGGACUUUUGAGAAUGAAUUUUAAUACCCAAGCACCUACAGUAUGUUAAACUCCACCUAUUCACCCUUAUAACGAGCAUUGAGGUCGGUGACUCCCAACCAAUUAAGGCUUAGGGCACCAGGUUUUAAAGAUUUUCACCAUAUACCCCUCAAAUCUUGCUCGGGGGUUUCAAAGCAAGCAAACAUUUUUCUUUCUUUCUUUCUUUCUUUUUCAAAGGCUCAUUGGCCUUUUAUAAGGUGUCCCAACACUAUUAAAUUGAGUUCAAAGGUACCAAGUCUAAAUUUUCCUAAGUCAAGGGGGUGAAAUAGUUUUUCAUCUUAUAAUCAGAACCUAUUGUGCACAGUGUGUGAAUAGCUUAAAAUGGAAGAACUAAGGUUGAAUUAAAUAUAAGUUUCAACAAUUCAUCAACUUUAGUAGGCAUAAUACAAACUCUAAGUCAAGUAAAAAGACAAAAAUUCAAUUUCUCCCUUUUUAGUUUGAAAAUUUUUCCUUAAUAACCAUGGAGAGUAGAUAAAAACUUAAAAAAAUUUAAAAUUAAGCAAAAAGCAACUAAAUUACCAAAAUAACUUAGCAUUAAUAACAAAACUUCCUUCCUCAACUCUCCCCCCAGCUAAGCUGAACAUUGUCCUCAAUGUGGCAUGAGCGAUUGAAAAACAGGGAGGAAGUGGUGCCUCCUGAGUGAUAUGAAGUUCUAGUAGAAUAGGAGAAACCACAUGUUUCAAAAACAAUAAAAGAUAUGAGUAGAGGAAUUAAAAUAAAAUAAUGCCAAUAGUACUCAAAAAAUGAUAGAUUUGUAUUACUUCAUGAUAAUACACUAUAGAGUAAAACAAGUAAUACAACCAAUCCCAAUAUAAAAAACAUCAAAAGCAUGGGAUUACAAGUUCUACACUAGUAAAGAAAUACAGAAAGGAAACUAUGUAAAUGAUUAGAUAGUGGUAGGAGGAUCAUGUGGAGAUGAUGGCUUUAUCUCUCCUGUAGUCGGCUCCUUAAGGGGCAUAGUCUGCUCCGUGAGAUGAGGGACCUGUGAUGGAUCUGUAGGCUCUGAAGGGAUAGGAAUGGCGUGCUCAGGAGGCAAUGGAAUACCCAGAUGUUGUUGUAUCUGCCUAAGAAUGGCAAUAUGAUGGGUUUGGGUGGCUAUAAUCUGCUCCUGAUGGAUACGAAGAGUUGUCAUCUGUUGAGUGAGGAUGCUCUGAGAAGUGGUCAAUGUCUGCAAAGUGUGACAUAGGCCUCUAAACUUGGAAAUGGAUAUGGCGAUCCUAGACUCAGAUAGAGGAGAGGGCUCUGAUGUAGAUGGUAUAACAGGCGGAGUCCUUGGUGUGGUAGGAGGAGCAGAGGGUGCAACCUCAGGCAUAGGUCUUGGAGAGGGCACUGUAGGGGCAGGUGCUCUCAUGUCAACUGGUAUCUGAAUUGGCUAUGGCUCCUCUGGAUGCUCUGGAUGUGGAAUCUCUGGAUUCUUUAGUCUAGCUAGGGCUCCUGGCUCUGCAUCAUAGGUUGUCAUACUCGUCCAUUUGUCAAGAGUGAAUAUCUCUCAACAAAUGCAUCUGCGCUCAAGCUGAGGCUCAGAUGGAUAUCCCAAGUGCUCCAAAAUCUGACAUAGCAACCUUGGGAAUAGAAGUGGAAUAGCAUCCACUCUUAGCAUCUUCUUCCUAUGGACCUUCUCUUCAAAGUACAAAAGAGCGGCCAUAAUGAGAUGAUGAUGGCCAAAGAAGAAUCCCUCUAAUAUCCUGAACAAUGCCUCUAGCAAAGCUCCUCUCCUCUGCACCAUAUGUUGAAACUGAUAGAUGUUAUGGCACAGGAGUGCAUCUAUAAAGAACAUGCUGGGAGGGAACUUCUUCCUCAACAGAUAAGGUCGUGUGGAUGCCCCUCUGGACAGUAUAUGGACCAUGUCACUCUGGGAAGGAUGAGCCUAGACUCGAUAAUCCUCUGGACGUGCUGGCUCGUAGGGAAUGCAUAGGGCCUCUGCUAUAUGUCUGGCUCCCAGGAUACCAUGGUGUCCAUCAAUGGUGAAGUGGAUGACAGUAGGAUCCCGGACGUGAUGUGUAGUCAUAGACUAAUAAAAGUCUAAUGCUACACAGGGAUAGAAGAAAUCCCUGGGAGUCAUCAGGUGCUCCAUAUGGUAUCUCUGGAGCAGAUGGAAGGAAUCUUUGAGUUCUGGUUGAAACCUGAAGGUAGCUCUGUCAAAAUAAAGCUUUGAGUGGAAUGGCCUAGCCCGACAAUCCAAAUUACCCUCAAUGGGUGGCUGAGUGACCAUGGAAUGCCUGAUAACCACCUCAGGAGUCAUCCCAGAGGGAAUCUAAGACUCUAUGGCAGGUGGCUGAGGCGGCUGAGGCUUUGAUGGAGGCUCUGAUGGCUCAAGUGGAGCUAAUACCCUUGCUUUCUUCUUAAGGGGACGGCUACCUGACUUUUUUGCACGAGAAGAGCUUGCCCUGAGUGUGGUGGGUGGUCUCCUCGUCUCAUAUCGCCUCGAAUGAGGACUCAGGGGUGCGUCCUCAAUUGAAGGUGGGACAACUAGUGGCUAUGAAGGCUCAGUCAUGGAGCCUUGCACAGAGGUCUUCCUUGGAACUCUAAGACGGCUUGAAGGAGACGAGGACUUAGCUCCUUGAGUUUUUGCCAUGGUUGAUUCAGAGGAGGUGGUCGGAGAUGCGCGCGCGGCUUGGGCUCAGAUAGGGGUCCUCUGGAAGUGGUGCUCUAGCUUGGGUCUUAUUUCGCACCAAAGGGAAGUUCAAAUGACCGGUUUAAAAAUGAAAUUUGGAAAUUAAAAUGUUUAAAAUGGAGGCCAAGUGACGGUUAGAAUUUUCGCAGAGGAGGGGCGUUUUCGCAGCGGGGGCUAUUUCGCAGCCCAUUUCGCAGCUGCGAAAUGAGGGGGUGGGGCUACGAAAUGGCACUCGUGUGGCAAGGGGUGGUUUCGCAGUUGCGAAACCAGCUGCGAAAUGGGGCUUGGGCUGCGAAAUGGCACUCGUGUGCCAAUGGGUGGUUUCGCAACUACGAAAAUUUUCGCAGGGGGUGGCUAUGGGGCUGCGAAAUCAUUUUGUAGCGGAGGGCCAUUUUCGCAGCCAUCCCUUGAUUUCACAGUGGGCACCUUGUGGCUACAAAAUCAUUUCGCAACAAAUGGCCGUUUACGCAGGGGCCUAUUUUGGCCUGCGAAAUCUCGCAGACCUUUGAAUUUUUCUUGCUCCUGAGCUCUUUUUUGCUCCGUGAGACCUCCUUCAUUUCUUUUGCAAUUUCUCCUAAAUUAGAUCAAUCAAAAAGUCUAAGUUACAUAUUAAUAACACAAAUUAAAACCAAAAUUAAAGUCAAAAUAAUUAAUAAGCUCUUUUAACAAAAUUAAACAAAAAAUAUGGACUUUGGUGAAACCAAGUCCAUUUAACCCCUUUCUGAUUAGGCUUUCUGGGGCUCAAGGAGAUUGAUUUCCUCAUUUUCUUGCUUGAAUGGCUCAAUGAAUGGUUUGGGACAAUGACCAUUGACUUUAAAGGUGUCAGUGCUAUUGGAAUUCAGUAAUUCCACCACUUCAUUGAGAUGCACUUGGUGAAUAAUGAAAGGGCCUAUCCACCUUGACUUCAACUUCCCAGGAAAGAUAUGGAGCUUUGAGUCAUAGAGUAAGACUCUUUGUCCUUUCCGGAAUUCUUUGUUGGAGACUAAUUGAUCAUGCCACCUCUUCAUCCUCUGUUUUGCAACUUUGGAAUUGAUGUAAGCAUCAUUUCUUAAUUCCUCCAUCUCAUUAAGGUCUAAGCACCUCUUUGCCCCGGCUCUGAUCAAGUCCAUGUUUAACUUCUUGAUUGCCCACCAAGCCUUAUAUUCAACUUCCACAAGGAGAUGGCAUGCUUUGCCAUAGACUAGGCGAUAGGGAGACAUGCCAAGAAUAGUCUUGUAAGUUGUUCUAUAUGCCUAUAGUGAAUCAUGGAGCUUAAUAGACCAAUCUCUUAUGCUCGUGUUCACCACCUUCAUCAAUAUAUUCUUGAUUUCCCUGUUUGCUAACUCAACUUGCCCGGAAGUCUGAGGGUGAUAAGGUGUAGCUACCUUAUGCUUCACCCCAUACUUGGCUAAUAGGGUUUCAAAAGGUUUGUUGCAAAAAUGAGUACCUCCAUCACUGAUUAUGGCCUUGGGCACCUCAAAUCUUGAGAAGAUGUUCUCUUUGAGAAACUUAAGAACCACCCUGUGAUCAUUGUAUUUACAGGGGAUUGCCUCAACCCAUUUAGAAACAUAAUCCACCCCCAUCAAGAUAUAAGAGUUACCAAAAGACAUUGGGAAAGGUCUCAUGAAGUCAAUGCCCCAAACAUCAAAGAAAUCAACUAUUAGAAUGGGGUUCAUGGGCAUUUGAUUUCUUCUUGUUAGCUUCCUGAGCCUUUGGCAUCUAUCACAGCUGCUACACAUGGUGUGGGCAUCUUUGAAAAGUGAUGGGCAACUAAACCCUGAUUGCAACACCUUCAUGGCUGUUUUCUGAGAGGCAAAGUGGCCUCCAUAUGCACUCUCAUGGCCAUGGCUGAGGAUUCCUUGUUGCUCUUUUUCGGGGACACACUUCCUGAUUAUUUGAUCUGCACAAUACUUGAAAAGGAAAGGCUCUUCCCAAUAAUAAGCAUGAAUCUUUACAAAAAAGUGUUUCCUGUCUUGUGCUUUCCACUCACUUGGAACUUCACCAGUAACUAGAUAGUUAGCAAUAUGAGCAUACCAAGGAGUUUUUUCUAGCAACAUAAGUGAUUCCUCUGGAAAGUCAUCAUUAAUAGGUAAGACAUGGGAAUUGUGUGCUAUAGCCAACCUUGAAAGGUGGUCAGCUACCACAUUCUCCACUUCUUUCUUAUCUCUGAUUUGGAGAUCAAACUCUUGUAGUAAGAGAAUCCAUCUAAUCAACCUUGCUUUUGCAUCUUGCUUUGUCAAUAAAUACUUCAAGGUUGAAUGGUCAGUGAAAACAAUGAUGAAAGACCCUACUAGAUAAGCACGAAACUUGUCUAAGGCAAACACUACAACUAAUAAUUCUUUCUCUGUAGUUGUGUAGUUCCUUUGAGCUUCGUUCAAUGUCUUGCUUGCAUAGUAGAUCACAUAGGGCUUUCCAUCUUCUCUUUGGCCAAGCACAGCUCCUAUAGCAAAGUCACUAGCAUCACACAUCACUUCAAAAAGUAGUUGCCAGUUGGGAGCCCUCACUAUUGGAGCAGUUGUCAAGAAUUGCUUCAAUUGAUCAAAACUCUUUUGACAUCUCUCAUCUCAUACAAACUUGGCUUUCUUAGCCAAAAGUUCACAAAGAGGCUUUGAAAGCUUAGAGAAAUCUUUUAUAAACCUCCUGUAGAACCCUGCAUGGCCAAGGAAUUGCCUUACUCCUUUUACAGUUGUUGGGGAUGGCAAUUUGACAAUAAGUUCCACCUUUGCUUUAUCAACUUCAAUGCCUUUCUCAGAGAUGAUAUGGCCAAGGACAAUUGAUUACUACUCAAAAAGAGCAUAUUUUAGAUAAUAAUUCUCAUGAGUUUCACGUCUUUUGAAUAGUAAUUAUGCCUAAAACACUCAAUUAACAUGUUGUUGCCCUUGCAAGAGUUACUAACAAGUUUUAUGAAGUUUUUGAGUCAUUUCAAGGUAUGUUUUUGAUAAAUUGGUGACAAAAGAAAUGAAUCAAAUUGAAGAAAACAAAUAAAGUUGAUGAUGAUCCAAAUGCAUAAUGAAAGAAGCAAUGCAAUCGGUUUGGAUCGGGAUUUGGAGUUGAUUUAGAGAUAGUUGAAGUGGAAUCAAGAGAAAGAAAUGAGAGAAAUUGCAAAGAGGAGUCGAAAAAGCAUGUUUUUCAAUUUCGCAUGACCAUGCGAAAUGAAACAAAGUAGGCUUGGCUGCAGCAUAUAAGGAAAAUGUGAAAAGUGAUUUCGCACAGUCAUGCGAAACACUCCAGCUAGACGAAAAUAUAGCUAAUGGAUUUUCUACUUCGCAUCAUUAUGCGAAAUUGCUGAGGGCUCAUGCCAAAAUGUAUUUUCUCCAGAUUCCUUGAUGAAGAAGCCUUCGGAAGACCUCUUAGAUGAUGCCAACUGUCUACUUGACCUUGGCAUAUAAAUAGAAACGUGAUUGACUCAUUUAAAGACUUUGGAUACAUUUUCUAAUUGUAAAACUUUCAAGGUUUCUUCUCUCUAAAUAAUUCUCUACUUUCCUUCAUUUUCUCUCAUUUUCUCGGUAGCCAAACAUGUCUUGUGAGAUCAAAUCUCCAAGCAUGAGUGGCUAAAUCUCGUUUUUCUCGGAUAAGGGAGCAUCUAGAGGCAAGAUCUAUGGUGAAUUAGAUAAUUGAGCUUGAAUUGCAAAGGUAAUUUGAUCCAAUUGAUUGAUUAAUUGAAAUUUGAGGAUUUUUCCCUUCAAAUUGUCUUGGAUGAUUACUACAAUGCAAGCUAGGUAGAUUCAUCAAAUUCUUAAUGUUAGAUUUGAUGAGAUUGAAUAGUUGCAUUUGUGUGAAUCAUUGGAAGAUAAUUUAAGAUGAACCGAAUAUAUGAUUUGAAUUGAUCUCUUGGAUUAGAUUACCUAAUUUGAAGAGAAAUUAGAUCUAAAUCUAAAGCUAAAUCAAAAAUUGGUUUAGAUGAAAAUUUAGGUUUUCAAUCUAACUUGAUGAAAAUUAUAUCUCAAAAACACCUAUUCACUAUGAAAAUUGCCUUCUAGAAAAUCCUAACUCCAAGAAUCUCACCUCUUAUUAAUUUUCUUCUCUUUUACACUUCAUUUUUCUCUCAAUUUGAAUACAUUGUUAUUUUGAAAUUUUAUCAUGCAAUUUCAAGUCAAUUUCACUUUAUCACAAUCAUUUCUUAUCAUCUCAUUCAAGCCUUAAUUACCGAGAAUAAUCCAUUCUUGUGGACGAUACCUAAAUACCACUAUACUAUAGUAGUUUGUACUAAAACCACUUUUUGAUCGAGUACAAAUUGCUAUAGAAUAGUGAAUUAAGUUAUAAAUUUUGUUUUGAUCCAAUAAACGACAAAAUCCGAGUGAUCAACAAUUCCUUGUUGUACCAUAAAAUGGCAUUUCUCUCAGUUGAGCACCAAGUCCUUUUCAAUGCAUCUUUUAAGAAUCGCUUUCAAGUUGACUAAGCAUUCUUCAAAUGUACCUCCAUAUAUGGUGAUGUCAUCCAUGAAAACCUCCAUAAUUCUCUCCACCAUAUCACUGAAGAUACUUAGCAUACAUCGUUGGAAUGUUGCAAGUACAUUACAUAAACCAAAAGACAUUCUUCUAUAGGCAUAUGUUCCAAAUGGACAUGUGAAAGUGGUCUUCUCCUGAUCUUCAACAUCGAUUUCAAUUUGAAAAUACCUGGAGUAGCCGUCCAAGAAACAAUAGAAAAGAUGGCCAAAGACUCUCUCCAACACUUGAUCAAUAAAUGGCAGUGGAAAAUGAUCCUUCUUUGUCACAACAUUCAAUUUUCUAUAAUCAAUACACACCCUCCAACCUGAAGUGAGGCGUGUAGCAACUUCUUCUCCCUUUUCUUUUUGAACCACCAUAAUCCCUGACUUCUUUGGUACCACUUGAGUAGGACUCACCCAAGGGCUGUCAGAUAUGGGGUAUAUAAUACCUGUUUGAAGUAGCUUCAGAACCUCCGUUCGCACCACCUCUUGCAAAUGAGGAUUCAAUUUUCUUUGAGGUUGACAAAUUGGUUUAGUUUCUUCCUCCAUGUAUAUAUGAUGUGUACAAACCAAAGGACUGAUGUCUUUCAAGUCAGAUAAUUGCCAUCCUAUUGCUUUCUUACACCUCUUGAGAACUUCAAGUAGACACACCUCCUGAGGACUAGUAAGAGAUGAAGAUAUAACAACAGGGCAUUGUUUAUUCUCUUCUAGGUAUGUAUAUUUCAACUCCGUGGGCAGAGGCUGAUUGAGCUUUGGGGUCUCUUCUUUAGCAGCUUCAUGUGCCUCCUCUUUAUUGAACAAAAGUAGAAUUUCUUCUCUCCUCCUCCAACCUUGUAGGGUAGCAAGCACAUCUGAGGGUUCAGACAACCCUUCUUCAAGAUCCCCAAGACUUUCAUUCAACUUAUCUUGCAUUUUUUUAUUAUAGUGCUCCUCCAUUAGAGUGUCAAUUAUGCACACCUCUUCUAGACCCUCUUCUUCUUCCGGAGUUAUUAGCUUUUUGGACAUAUAGAAGAUAUUGAGCUCCAAUGUCAUGUUGCCAAAUGUGAGUUACAUGAGUCCAUUCCUACAAUUUAUGAUUGCAUUUGAUGUAGCAAGGAAUGACCUUCCAAGGAUGAUAGGAACAUAAUUCGUUUCCUUAACAAUGGGGUCCGUAUCAAGAACAACAAAAUCUAUUGGAUAGUAGAAGUUAUCAACUUGAACUAAGACAUCUUCAAUUAUCCCCCUUGGAAUUUUCACUGAUCUAUCUGCUAGAGAUAGAGUGAUUGAUGUUGGCUUCAAUUCACUAAGUCCCAAUUGCUUGUAGACAGAGUAUGGCAGCAAAUUCACACUUGCUCCCAAGUCUAACAAAGCUUUUUCCACUACUUUUCCCCCAAUCAUGACUGAAAUGGUAGGACAACCCGAAUCUUUGUACUUCAAAGGAGACUUGCAUUGUAUGAUAGCACUUACUUGCUCAAUCAAAAAGGCUUUCUUAUUCACAUUCAACCCUCUUUUGAUAGUACACAAGUCUUUUAGGAAUUUUGCAUAUGUUGGAACUUGUUUAAUCAUAUCCAGCAAUGGAAUAUUGACUUUCACUUGUCUCAAUACUUCAAGAAUUUCUGAUGCAUUUCUGAUCCCCUUUCUCCCAUGCAAAGCUUGAGGAAAAGGUGGAAGUGUGUGUUUCUUCAUCAUUUCUUCCUUGAUAAGUACUUUAUCUGGAUUUGCAUUCACUAUUGAAUCAUGGUCCUAUUUCCCUUCACUGGUAUCUUUCUUCUUUCCUUUGAUUUCCUCCCUCUUCUCUGUCUCUUCUUCUUCUUCAUCCUCUUCAACAUGUGGCUUGGGUGUUGGUAGCUCAACCUUUUUACCACUCCUUAGAGUGAUCAAGGCUUUAACAUCUCUCACCUGUGAGGACUCUCCCUCAUGAGUUUCCACUUCAUGGAUACCCUUGGGGUUUUGGUGAGGUUGAGAAGGAAAUCUACCCUUCUCUUGCAUUGUAUUCAGGUUAGUGAGCCUUGAGAUUGAGUAUUGGAGAUUAUCUAUCUUCUGAGAUAAGUCAUUUUGCAUCUCAUCCAUCCUUUUAUUCAAUGUAUUCUCUACACUGUCAAUUCUUUGACUAAGUUGAGCAUUGAUGGAUUUUUGGUCUCCAACAAAAUCUCCCACAACCUUGAUUAGAUUCACUGUUGCUUGUUCAAGAUUUGAAGCUUGUUGAGAUGGUUGAGCUGGUUGUGCAUACUGAGGUGCUCUUGGCUUCUAAGAAAAAUUUGGAUGGUUCCUCCAACUUGAGUUGUAAGUAUUUCCAUACGAAGCAUUGUUGUUGGGCUUGAAUUGUCCAAUGACAUUUGCUUGAUCUCCAAACAUUUCCCUAGCAGCUGGAAUUGUAAGGCACUCCUCCACCAAGUAUUCAUAAGAUUGACAAAUAGGACAUGGCUUGACUUGCACUAGUGUUUCAACAACAGCUUGUACUUCACGUAUCUUUUUCAGUUCUAGCUCCUCUAAUCUUCUUGUCAUAGCUGCAAACUUUGCUUUCAUAUCAACAUCUUCAUUCAAGGUGUACAUCCCAGCCUUAGCAUUAAAGGCAUUCGGUUGAGACUUCAUCUUCCCCACUUCUCCUUUGUUCGUUUCAUCCCAUCCCCUUGAUAUUUCAGCCACAUAACUUAAGAAAUCCAUAGCUUCCUCCGGAUUCUUACUCAUGAAAUCUCCUCCACACAUUGUCUCAAGGAGUUGCUUCAUUGAGGAAGACAUCCCAUCAUAGAAAUAACUCACCAAUAGUCAUGUAUCAAAACCAUGGUGAGGACAAACAUUGAUGGCUUUCAUGUAUCUUUCCCAACACUCAUAGAAUUUCUCAUUCUCUUUAGCUGAGAAGUUUGAAAUUUUCCUUUUCAAGCCAUUUGUUCUGUGAGUAGGGAAAAUUUUCUUAAGGAAUUCAGCUUGAAAAUCAGUCCAAGUCUGGAUACUCCUUGGCCUUAAAGAAUUAAGCCAAAUCUUGGCCUUAUCCUUUAAAGUAAAAGGAAAUAUCUUAAGCUUCAUCAAGUCGAUUGAAGCUCCUCCUUCUUGGAAUGUAUUACAAACAUCUUCAAAUUCCUUGAUAUGUACAUAGGGAUUCUCACUUUCCAUCCCAUGGAAAGUUGGUAGAAGUGGAACAAUAUGCGGUCUAAUCACUAGCUGCUUUGUAGGGGGCACUAUACAUGAUGGUGCACUCAUACGAGGUGGAUGCAUGCGGUCCCUCAUUGAUCUGAAUGCGUUGGGAUUGUCCUGGUGACCAUGGUGACUAUGCUGCUCUUCAUAUGUAGCUUCCAUGAUGUUUAAGCUCAAUUCCAAUUCCUUGUUAUGAGGUAUUUCAAGUUUCACAAGCCUUUCUCCACUAUCUCGUAUCCAAUUUGGCAUACACAACUAGUAUCAACUGUAACAAACACAAAAACAAAAGAAAACAAGACUACAAAAAGACUAAGAUUAACUAAAACUAAUUUAAAGGAUAUGUUAGAAUAUGAACAAGUAAAAGAAACAAUUAAAAGAGUUAGUAAAAUGAAAGAAAAAUCACCAAACUUGUGAUGAAAAUCACAAGUACUCUGAAAUAAUAUCAUUGUGAAGUUGGCACACCUUCCCCGGCAACGGCGCCAUUUGAUUGCGUGCCUAGCUGGUGUACCUUGAUUUUGGCCCUCAGACAGGAGUAAUCAACAAAAUUUAUAACCUAUAUCACUAUGUGCUAGGAUAGCCUCAGCUAGUAUAGCAUAAUGGCUCUAGGAUCGUUCACUGGGAAGGGUUUUCAACUUACUAUUAACAUUAAUUCAAAGUUGAAUUGAUGCUUUUUCAUUUCAAGGUUAGCUUCAAAAGAAAACAUAAACUUUGGUUUAAAAAGGAUUAGUUUUAAGCUAACUAAAAUAAGGUAAUGGGAAUUACUUAUAAAGAAAAGCGUUUUUGGGAGUUUUAGGAUCACUAGGGUCAGGCUCCUCAUGCAAAAACAGAGUUCCGGUCACUUGAAUCUUUUCCUCGCAUUAGAGAAUUAACAUAUAGUUAUUUCUCUAACCGGUGUGGUACAGAUGCUUCCCUUUUAUGGAUUCAAACACUAAAUCCCUCUCACUGAUUCAUCUUGCAAUGGCUCGUGCCUCUCACCUAGCAUUUGCCAUUCAAGGUGAUCAUUAACCUUGGAUUUCCCUUUUCAAGCUCGCAAGAGAUAACUAAUGGAUGUCUCCUUAGAGUCCAAAAGUUUACCAAGUGUUGGCAAUUCUAGAAAAUCCUACCUUCAAGUCACCUCCCAAAGGCUCGCAAGAGAUAAACUAGUGCAUCUCAAUGAACGGAGAUCACUUGUCUUACCAAGUGUUGGCCUAGGUGAUUUAAAGGCGUUUUAAGUUAACUAAAAACAUAGAAACCAUUAACGGGUCACACUUUCUCUUCAUUAAUAGUUGAAACAACAAAACUCUCAAUUCUUGCAUUCGGCACCUUACCCAGCUACCUUAGCUCCAAGAGACAAAAAGUCUAGCCACUCAUUCUAUAAGGAAACAUCUUCAGAACUUAUUUGGCUAGUAAGAAAAAUACAAUCAAAGUGAGUAAGUAAGGCAGAGCAAAGCUCUGUAUAUUACUUUCUUCAAAACUAUACAAAAAGUUGUCUUUGAGAACAAGCUCCCGAGAGAUCCUUUGUGUAAUGAAAAUUACAAACAAUAUAUAUGAGGUUAUUCACCCUUUGUUCUUACUUAUUAACUAAGGAAUCCUAUGAUUGGUGGAUUGCAAGGAGAAAAUGGGGAUUUAAACAACAAAUAUCUGAAGAAAAAAAUAUAAAAGUGUCGGUCGCAAAUAUCUGGAAGCACUUAGGAGGAUUUCGUAGGCAUGCAAGAUGGUUGCGAAAUUUCACAAGCUGAAGGUCUCCAUUUCGCAGCCAAGGGCCCAUUUCGCAACGAUCACCUUGUGAUUUCGCAACUGCGAAAUUGGCCUUCAGCUUGGUGUAAUUGGCUUCCAAUGGCUAUAACUUCUUCAUUUCAACUCCGAUUCAUGCACCGUUUGAAGCGUUGGAUUUCUGACUUCCUGAGCUUUGAAACGACAUAUAGUAUACAUGAAAUGGACUCCAGAAAGUGCUCCAAAAGUAUCCAACAAUUUCUGUCCUCUUGAAUUCUUCAUGUUAGAUUUCUCUCUUUGCUUUCCCUCCUUGCAUUCAUGAUUUGCUUAUGGCAAAGGACUAUAAAGCUUUAAAGCUUAGGUUCUUCAUGUUAUAUAUGACACUUCAAACCCAAAGGUCAAGGGUACUACCAUCAUUUCACAUGUCAAAGUUGUCCAACCCAAGAGCCUAACACAUAAAUGACCUUGACUAACAAAUCCAUCAUGUAGCUAGUUGAUAAUUAAUUACCUCCAAUUGACAAUCACAACAUAAUUCAAAAGUUUAUGAAUCUUUGAUCCAAAAUUAAUUAAAAUAUCCAAACAAUAAAUUUGAUGUGUAAGCGUUUUGUGUGUUAGCAAUUCUAGGACAAGAUUCUCAUUGUGUUUCUCCUAACUGAAUCUCUGAAAUAAAAUUUUGUGGGUGUUGAGCUGAAAAUCAUCAUUUGAAUGAAAAAAAUUCUUUCAAAAUGGGUUGAUUUGGUAUAAGUUUUAUCCCUACUUUAAUAUUCAUCAUACUUAAGGUAUUACCCAAAUUUUUUCUUUGUGAAUUCAAGAAGAGACCAAGAUCAGGUUUGAUGUGGACUCAAAAUAUUCUCCAAGAAAAGAAAGUAGAUAAGUUAAGUUUGAAGGUUUCUUAAUUGGAGAGUAUUGACUCAUUUACAUGUAAAUUGUAUUGAUUAUCUUAUUCUGAGAGUGUUGGUACAUUCAUUAUUGUUUGUAUUUUGUUUGUUUCGAUGAGAUUGAAAGAAAAUAUGAGUUCUUAAUAUUUGUGAGGUAUCAUCUCAAAAUGAUUCUAAAAAAUACCUAUUCACCCCUCCUAAACUCAGAAUGAUUCUAAAAAAUACCUAUUCAGCCCUCAUAAACACUAGCACAAUAUUAAGAGAUAGUCAAAUACAAAUAUAUAUAUAUAUACCUACCUUUAUUUAUUUAUUUAUAUAUUAUUUUUUAGAAACUCUAAAUUAACUUGAACAAUUCAAGUCCAAAACUCAAAUUAAAACCUUAUUAUAUUUAGUUAGUCCAAGAUUUUAUUUUUUAAAAAUAAUUAAAUUAUACAUUUACCCAAACUUAAUGUUGGAGUGUUACGAUAUACGUAAUAAACUUUUUUUAAUUAAAUUAGAUGUGUAUUUAAUCAUGACAAUAAACUUUUUUUAAAAUAUGUUUGAUUGUGAUUAUAGGAAGUAUUUUUAGCAUUUUUAAUAUUUAAAAGAUAAAAAAUUUCAAUGUUAAAAAAAGUAAUAACAUUUCCUAACACGUCAAACGCACCCUUAAUUAACUAGGUGUGUUUUUAAUCAUGUCCACCCAGAGCAAUAAUAUCUGGAAAUGAAAAUUUGGGUGGGGGUUCACGGAAAACGAUGACAAUUUUCCCUAUACAAAAUAGCAGAGUAGCCCAUUUACCAAUUCUAGUGGCCUCCAAGUAAUGCAACCCAAAAGAAUUGUUAAAGAAUCGUUAAGAGAUCUGGCACAUGCCCACUGAAUUAAUUACAGAUCCGGCAUAUGCCCACCAUCCACCUCUCUGUAGUUCAUCGAUGGGGGAUUUCACUCAUGUAAAAUAGGUCAGGUUCCAUCUACGAUUCUACAGCCAUCUGCGGUACCGUUCUUUUCACGGUAGUAUAAAAAAGGUGUUGGUCACUUGGUCCUAGUCAAUAGGCAAACUCGACCAAUACCCCAAAACAAGCAAACAACAAAUAAAAAUAGAAGAUGUUACUUAUCAGGUUGAUUGGCUAAUAUCACGCAUUAAAGGUUUCUGGCACCAGCUACCCGAAAUACCAUUAGCCCCUUAGACUCCCCUCACCUCUCCACAAGCCUAUAAGAUUAAAAGUUUCUCUUUUUAUUGAAAAAACAAGCUUAAAUACUUUAAAACACAUACUCUAUAAGCUCUUCUUACAAAUUGCACCAUUAAUUAGAUGAUACCAUAUAUAUAUACCUAUCAUGUCUCAUUAUUUAUAAUCUAAUAUGAUUUGCUUAUAAUUUUAUAUUUUAAUUCUAUUUAUUUAUAUUAUUAUUCAGCGGUUUAAGUCUAAUUAUACAAAUUCAACGGUCCAUAUUUAAAUUUUGAUGGAUAUCAUUAUGGUACCUUAACAAUUUUCAAUACAUAAAUAUAUUUCUUUUGAACUCUAACUUCCUUGGUAUUGAUUAAGAGCACAUAGACACAAAAUGAAUCUAAUUUGAGUUCGGCAUUGCAAGGAAUAAAACAUUGAAACGAAAAUUGAAGAGUAAUGUAAUGGUCAAUGUCCACAAAAAUUAUGAUAUCUCAUAUCAAUUAGAGAAAGAAAUUCUUGCUUUUAAUACAUGAGCAUUGUUUUGCGAAAAACAGAAAAGGUCAACGUAAAUGAUAUCAGAAUUAAUCUUUCAUUGAAAAUACUUGAUCGUGUUUUUAUUCAAAUUGAAAUGAAAAAUGGAUGAAAUAUUUCCCAUGAUUUUCAUGAGGGUGUUGAUUCAAAUUGGUUCGGUCCCCCUCUAGCUUUUGUCCUUUUUGCUCUUAUUCUCUUAAAAGGCCAAUGGUCAAGGUCUAGAAUUAUAUAAAAAAAAAAUGGGUUGAAUCAUGGACCCAUUAAAUUAAAUUAAAUAAUUUGUUUCCUUCAAUGCAAGGGUCAUCCAAAGAUUUCAGUUUUAUAUCUGAAUUUCAUAGGAGUUUUGAUGAGAAAAUGUUAGGUCCGAAGCAUAUGGCCAAAGUCUCCAUCUAAAGUCAAAGUUCUUUUCAAGCACUCUACAGUGAAUGGGUCUGACCUCGUCAAUUUCCUUUCCAUUUCCUUGUUUGGUUACCAAGAAAAAAGCCCAAAAAGCGUCUAGACCAUGAUUAGAUCCAGAACCGUUGAUUGGUUGCGUUUAGACCAUGAAUUGGUAUAUUCUGUCUUUUUUUUAUUAAUUAAUAAGAUUUAAUGAUGAAUACCUUUAGUUUUGUAAAAAUUAUAAGAUAUAUAAAAUAUUUUUAUUAAAAUAAAAAUAACAUGUGCAUGAUAAAUUUUAUAAGAGUGUAUAAGACAAUGACUUUAAAAAACGUUAUUAAUAUUAAAAAAAUUAAAUAUUAAAAAUAUUUUUUAAAAUCAUUAUGAUUCCAAAUUUAUGUUAAUUAUUAUUUCACUUAAAAAUAGGAGUAUAAAUUAUCUAAUAUUAAUCCAUUAUUUUGUAAAUCGAACAUAGUUGUUUUUCUUUUUUUGGCCAAACAAGUUUUAACAUUUAAAGAGUUGUCUUAAAUUAUUUUUAUGUAAGAAAAAAUCCUCUUGAAAGUGAUAUAUGUAUUUUAAAAAAAAAAAUUGUUUGAUUAAAACUUUGGGACCAUGAGAAAUAUUAAGAAUCCAAUGGGUGUUGCACGAGGGUACAAGUGGUAUUUUAUCAUGCUAGGUGGUUCAUCCCCAACCAAUGGUUAUAGACAAAUCUCACCUAUGGGUGACCCAAUCAAUUUGAAAAAUUAGGACAAUGGAUUAUUACCACCAAGGAUGAAAAUAUCGGUAAUCACGAAUAUAUCGAUAUUUCGAUUUUACGGAUAUAUCGAAGAUAUAUCGGCAGAUAUUUUGGAAAAAAAUAUCGAUACGCUUAAAAUUGUUAAAAACUCAUAGAAAUACAAGGAAAACUUCAUAAUAAUAUAAUUAAAAGUAUAAUAGACAUUUUAAAGUUGUUUUAUUGAAAAAUUUGAUAUACAUAUGAUAUAAUUUGUGAUAUUAGAUGUAAUUAUAUCAUAUCGAUCUAUAAGAAAUGUUAAUUAUGUAAUUGUUCUCAUUAUAAAGUUACAUAAAAUACUUCAUUUCAUUAAAUAUCAAUAAUUUGUACACAUUACAUUGCAAUGUCCCUGUAGUACCAAAAUGAGGAUCGAUGUGGUUCAAUGGGAUUGAUAGAUAAAAGAACCUCGUCUUCCUAUUAGAGACAAUAUUAACAAAAAUUGGAGUAAUGAGAGAGCAAAUGAAGAAUGAAAGCAAAAAUGGAUGAAAUGGAUGAAAUUUGGGUCAAAAUAACCAUUGGAACAUUAUUUUAUCGUUAAAAAUCAAUUUUGGCUGUUGGAUCAAAAUCUAGGAGCAAUCUGGCCAUUGGAUCGUUAUAUUACCAUUGGAAUCACAUCUGGGCUGUCGGAUCAACAUGGGCGUGAUCUAGGCCUUCAGAUCACGCUGCAUGAAGAAAGGGAAAAAUCGCUAAAAAAUUGGCAAUUUAUCUUCGAUUAGUCGCCGAUAUCUCGGUGAUUUAUUGCCACCAGAAGCGAUUUUUUCACAAAAUCGCCAAUUUAUCUCCCCGAGCCGAUAUAUCACUGAUAUAUCGGCGAUUUUUGCAGAAAUAUCUCUCAUUCAAUUUUUCUUCACGAAAUAUUGUAUCGACCCUUCCCGAUACACGAUAUAUCGCCGAUAUAUCCCGACAUUUUCCUCCUUGAUUACCACAAGCAAUAAGGGACAAUAGAUGAGUGAAACGCAACGUUUUGACAUGGCACGAGCCCCAAGCAAUGAAAACUCUCUACGUGGCACACGUCCAGUGCCAAAAUAUCAUCGAGCACCAAAAGUACCAGACAACUGAAUCUCUUCAAUUGUCUAUGACGCUCACACAUCGUCCACCGUACUCCCUCAUUUCUCCUUCAAGCUCUCCGAUUCAGUUCUACCAUUGAAGGUUCGCUACUGAAUCUUUCUUCAUUCUACUAAGUGGUUUUUCUGUUUGGUUUUCGAGAAUAUUAAGGAAGUUUUGGUUUUUUUUUUUUUAAAAUGUGUUUUUCGAGUGGUUGGUUCUGGGAAAGUAUACAAGUCAACGUAGUUAAGCUGGCGUUUGAACCAAAACCAAAACAUGGGAAAAUGUCAGCUUUGAAUGUUUUUUUUUUUUUCUCUCUCCUUUUCCUCGAGCUUCAUGGUCGGGAAAGGCAACUUAAAGCUUCAAUUGGAAAUUGGUUUCUUAAGUAAAUAUUUGCUAGUUUGAUUUAAGUAGAUUGAGCUUCAUGGAUGACCCCCUUAUAAUUUUAUUAUUAUUAAAGUAUAUAUUUUUAAUUUCAAUGAUAAUUUAUAAUUUAAUAUUUUUUAAUUAAAUUAGAAAAUGAAAAAAUAACUAAAUCUUUCAUUAGUAAUUAAGGUUUCAGAUCAAAAAUCAAAUCUCAAUUGGGAAUUAAGGUUUCAACUUAAAAUUUUAUUAAAAAAAUAUAUUUUUUUUAAUGAGAUGGCUCCCAGCAACAAUAAUAGUACUAGUUUAACGUGACUCUAAGGGUUGGUUGCACGUCAUUUCAAAGAUGUGAAAAGAGCUAAAACAAACUAUUUUCCAAAUUAGUUGUAAAAAUGAACAAUCCAACUUUUUCAAGAAAGGCAUGGAUGCCUCUCUUCUUAUUAUUUCAGGAUUUGUUUGCUAUAGCCACAAAUCAGCCAAUUCAUUUUUCAUCUACCAUUACCUUUGUUCUAAAGGCAUUUUCAACACUGGAAGGUGUUCUCUCUCUCUCUUUCUAUCAUGCAUAUAGGAAGAGUGUAAAUAAUUUUUAUUUUCAUUUUAUUCUAUUAGUCUUAUAUUUUUUGGAAAAAUCCUAUUGGGAAUUAUUUUUAUUUUAUUUUAUUUUCUUAGUCUUAUAUUUUUGGGAAGAGUCCUAUUAGGAUUGUGCUAAUGGAGUCCCAUUCCUUUUAUAAGUAGAAUCAUCUUCCACUUUGAGUCAUGCUCUGAUUACAAGUAGAGUCUCAUUGAGACUGUUUUAGUGGCCUAUAAAAGUAUGUCACCCCUCACUCUAUAAAUACGAAUACCAAUUUUUCAGAGAAUUUUUUAGAGAGUUUUUUAGAGAGUCAUUUCAUAUAUCUAUCUAGAGGAAUUUUUUUCAAUGUACACAUCUCGCUUAUAGAGUGUACCCAAGGUGAGAUCUGGUUGUUGAAUCCUAGAGGUAGACCACUGGUACCCUAGUGCACCGAGUUCAUCUUCGAGGAAGGUGGAUCUAUUUCAAGGACAGUAUUUAUCACGCCUCAACCGAUAAGUUUUUCUUUUUAUUGAUUUUAUUCUUUGUUUAUAUCUUUUGGGCUAGUCAUUUGUUUUCAUACCCUUAAAUCCAACAAUCUUAAAAUAUAUCCAAAUGGAAGCUUAUCUAGUUCACACCCGUCCUGACACCUCUAAAAUUGAUCCCUUCAAUGGGACAUUCUUUAAGAGAUGGCAGGAAAGGGUUUUCUCUGCUAUUAAUGUAGUGAACUUAAGACACAUUUUAACUGACCCAAAACUAGAAGAUGGUUCUCCUUUGUUACCAACCUGGGAAACUAGAAAUAAACAAAUUAGGCAUGUUAUUCUGAGUACCCUUUCUAAUGAACUUUUUGAUAUUUAUUGUCAAUUUAAAGUUGUAAAAGAAAUUUGGGAUGCAAUGAAUAAAAAAAUAUAUUUUGGAAGCUACAGGAACUCGGAAAUAUGCCAUAGGGAAUUUUAAAAUUUUCCAAAUGACCGAUGAUAGAGAUGUAUCAUCUCAAAUCCAUGACUACCACUUAUUGAUUAAUGACUUAGCUAUUGAAGACAUUAAAUUACCCGAACCUUUUGUGACUGGUUAUUUAGUAAAGACUCUUCCAAAGUCUUGGAAAGACUAUAAAAAUAACAUGAAACAUAAAAGGAAACAAAUGUCCCUAGAGGAUGUCAUAAUCCAUAUUAGGAUUAAGAAACAAAAUCGAAAUAGGGACAAUGUUGAGAAAGCUAAGGAAUUGUCUUCUAAGGCUAAUGAAGUAGAAGAAAAACCUAAACCCAAAACAAUAGGUCCAGGAAACAAAACUCUAGGACCAAGCCCAAUGCAUCAAACAAGGUCCAGAACUCAAUUAUGAAAAAACGGGGUAAUUGUUUUGUCUGUGGCAAGUUUGGACACCAUGCAGCUCAAUGUCGCCACAGGAAAAGAACUAAGAAAUCCAAUUUAAAGGAAAAUCUGGUAGAGUCAGAGGUGAUCACAACAGUAAUUUCCUCUGAAGUGAGCAUGGUCACCAAUAUGAAGGAUUGGGUGGUAGACUCUAGGGCUACCAGGCACAUCUGUGGGAAUAGAAGUGCAUUUACUUCCUAUACCAUUGUAAAGGAAUGAGAGGAACAAGUGUUCAUGGGUGAUUCUAGAUCUACUCCAGUGAUUGGAAAAGAGACAAGCUAACCUCUAGAAAAGCGCUUUCCCUUAGUGACGUUCUUCAUGUGCCAGAUAUCCGCUUGAACUUGGUGUCAAUAUCUCUACUUGGAAAAAUAGGAGUGAGAAUCUUGUUUGACUCUAAUAAAAUAGUUUUAACCAAGAAUGAUGCAUUUGUGGAAGGACUAUUGUAAUCAUGGUUUAUUUGUUUAUGAUAUUAUCAAUAAUAAUGCAUCUUCUUCUUCUGCUUACAUAGUUGAUUCUUGUGAUAUUUGGCAUGGUAGACUAGGACAUGUGAACUUUUCAUAUAUGAAGAAAAUGUUUGAAUUAAGUUUAAUCCCUAAACCGUCCUUAGAAAACCAUAGAAAAUGUGAAUCUUGUGUAGAAUCUAAAACCAUAAAGAAAUCUUGCAAAUCAGUCGAAAGAGGAUCAGAUUUACUAAGUUUAAUACAUAGUGACUUAGGAGACCUAAAAAAAUACAAUGACUAGAGGUGGUAAACGAUUCUAUAUAACUUUCAUAGAUGACUACUCAAGGUAUACAAGGGUAUAUUUUUUUAGAAACAAAGAUGAAGCAAGAGUUGUUUUCAUCAAGUACAAAAAUGAAGUGGAAAAUCAAUUAAGUAAGAAAAUUAAAAGGCUUAGAAAUGAUAGGGAAGGAGAGUAUGAGUCCAACCCCUUUAAUUCAUUUUGUGAAGAUCAUGGGAUCAUUCACGAAACUACUCCUCCUUAUUCCCCUGAGUCUAAUGGAGUAGCAGAAAGGAAAAAUAGGACAUUAAAAGAAAUGAUGAAUGCAAUGUUGGUAAGUUCAGGAGCACCCUUGAACUUGUGGGAGGGGGGGGGUGAGUUAUCCUAUUUGCUUGUCAUAUUCAAAAUAGAAUACCUUAUAAGAAAACUAGUAAAACUCCUUAUGAGUUGUGGAAGGGUUAUGCACCUAAGAUAGCAUACCUGAAAGUGUGGGGGUGUUUAGCUAAAGUUCUUAUCCCUUAACCUAAAAAAAUGAAAACUAGGUCCUAAAACCUUUGAUGCAAUGUUCAUUGGCUAUGUUGAGAAUAGUACGGCAUAUAGGUUUCUUGUUACUAAGUUAGAAAACAGUCUUGUAGUUGUCAAUACUAUAAUAGAAACAAAGAAUGCAGAUUUCUUUGAAAACAUCUUUCCUAUGAAACUAAAUGGUGAACAACAAGUUCAAAAAACAAGUAGAGACAAGUCUAUUGAACCUUAAUAAGUAAAAGAGAUAGGAAAGAAACAAACCUUGGAGAUGGUUUCUACACCUUCCUAAUAGAUGAGGACCCUAGAUCCUACAAAGAAGUUAUAACUUCUCUUGAUGUACCAUUCUGGAAGGAGGUCAUUAACGUGAAAUCGAAUUAAUCAUGUAUAACCAUACAUAGAAGUUAGUAGAUUUACCUCCUAGUGUAAAGACUAUUGGUUGUAAAUAGAUCUUUAAAAGAAAGUUAAAACAAGAUGGGUCCAUAGAGAAGUAUAUAGCUCGUUUAGUUACCAAAGGCUUUAAACAAAGGAAUGAUGCAGAUUACUUUGACACCUUUGCCCCUAUGACUAGAAUAGCAUCAAUUAGAGUAUUGAUCGUUCUAGCUUCCAUUCAUAAUUUGGUGAUACACCAAAUGGAUGUCAAGACUGCAUUCUUGAAUGGGGAUUUGGAAAAGGAAAUUUAUAUGGAUUAACCUGAGAGUUGUGUAGUUCCAAGAAAGGAGAAAAAGGUGUGUAAGUUGGUUAAAUCACUAUAUGGGUUAAAAUAAGCUCCCAAACAGUGGCACAACAAGUUUGAUCACAUGUUAGUAACUAAUGGAUAUUCCAUUAAUGAUGUUGAUAAGUGCAUCUACAGCAAGUAUGAGGAUAACAUAUGUGUAGUUAUCUGCCUUUAUGUUGAUGACAUGCUGAUAUUUGGAACUAGCCUAGAGGUUCUAUGUGAGACCAAGAAAUUCCUAGGUUCUAAGUUUGAUAUGAAAGACCUAGGAGAGGCAGAGGUGAUUCUAGGAAUUAAAAUAACUAGAACACCUAAUGGGCUUAAACUCUCUCAAGAGCACUAUGUUGAAAAGAUCCUAAGGAACUUUGAACACUUUGAUUAUAAAUGAGUGUCAACUCCUUAUGAUCCCAGCUCACAGCUAAAGAAAAAUUGAGAACAUAGUGUUGCCCAAAUAGAGUAUGCUCAGAUCAUAUGGAACCUAAUGUACUUAAUGAACUGUACCAGACCUGACAUUGCUUAUGCAGUAGGUAGAUUGAGUCGGUACACCCAAAGUCCUAAUCAGGACCAUUUGAUUGUUGUUUGUAGAGUCCUUAAGUAUUUGAGAGGCACCAUUAACUAUGGUUUGUGCUUUAGUGGAUUUCCAAGUGUUCUUGAAGGAUUUAGUGAUGCAAAUUGGAUCUUGAAUUCAGAUGAGAUGAAAUCCACUAGUGGAUAUGUUUUCAUCCUUGGUAGAAGUGUAGUUUCUUGGAAGUCUGCCAAGCAAACUUAUAUUACUCGAUCUACUAUAUAGGCUGAGUUUAUUGCUUCAAAAAAGGCAAGUUCUGAGGCUAAGUGGCUUAUAAACUUCUUUGCAGAUAUCCCUUUUAUGAACUAGACCAACCCCGUUUGUGUCUAUGCAUUGUGAUAGUCAAGCUGCAAUUGCUAAGGCUAAGAGUAAGAACAAACUUGAUGGAUUCACCUAUAUGAGAGUGGAGGUGGGGCCGCUUCCUUGAGAACUUAGGCAUAUUCUCUUGAGCUCUUAUGAAUAUCUAGGCAGAGCACAUGGCCUAUUUGUACCACCCCGUUUUGUGCAACUCAUAGUGAAGUUGAGAAAACCAAUGUGGAUAAAAGUCCCUUGAGUUACAUCAAGAAACACUGGUUCUAGAAAUUUAUUUUCACCGUGUUUUGUGAUUCAAUACUUAUUUGUCCUAAAACUAGUUCAUAACCUUUGGGCACUAGCACUGAUGCAUUGGGUUCUUUUUUCCUCCAAAAAAAAUCGUGUUUACACUCUAUGGGGGACUAUAAGAAGAGUGUAAAUAAUUUUUAUUUUAUUUUAUUAUAUUAGUCUUAUAUUUUUGGGAAGAAUCCAAAUGGGAAUUGUUUUUAUUUUAUUUUAUUUUAUUCUAUUAAUCUUAUAUUUUUGAGAAGAGUCCUAUUAUGAUUGUACUAGUGGAGUCUCAUUCCUUUUAUAAGUAGAAUCCCCUUCCACUUUGAGUCAUAUUAUGAUUACAAGUACAGUCCCAUUGAGAUCGAUUGUUUUAGUGGCCUACAAAAGCAAGUCACCCUGCACUCUCUAAAUACGAAUACCAAUUUUUAAGAGAAUUUUUAAGAGAGUUUUUUAGAGUCUUUUCAUACAUCUAUGUAGAGGAAUUUUUUUCAAUUUACACAUCUCGCUUACAAAAUCUACUCGAUGCGAAAUCUGGCUGUUGAAUCCUGGAGGUAGACCACUGGUACCUUAGUGCACCGAGUUCAUCUUCGAGGAAGAUGGAUCUAUUUCAAGGACAGUGUUUAUCACGCCUUAGCCGAUAAGUUUCUUUUCUUAUUAAUUUUGUUCUUUUUUUAUCUUUUGGGCUUGUCAUUUGUUUCCAUACUCUUAAAUCCACUAAUGCACACAUACAAAUACAUGAUCCCAUAGCUUCAUUUCCAAAUUGAAAGUCACCAAAUACCACUUCUCCUCAUAAUAGAUUUUGAUGCUACCUGUUCAGAAACUCCACUAUCAUCUUGAAGUUUCUCCAAGUACGUUUAUAUAAGUGUGUGUAUAUAUGUGUGCAUAUGUUUAUGUUCUGUGAGUAGAUGAGCACACUCAUCCUGAUUGAAUUGCCCACUUCUGAAUGUGACUUUUCUUGUAGGAAUUGGAUACUCACUUGAUCCAGAUUUUUCCUUUGAGAAGAUUGUUGCACCUUAUGCACAGGUUCCAUUCAUUUCCCUAAUAAUUUUAUGCAUCUUUUUUCCUCACAUGCCUCUUUAAUGCUUUUAGUUUAGCUUUAAUGAUUCACACCGUAUAAAGGAGUUUUUAUAUAUACAACAGGAACGGCGAACUGGACCACAACUUGUGCAUGAGAUAAUGAAACAAGUAGAUGAUGUAUUCUACUCUCUUCCCUUCUCACUUUAGUUCCUUCUGAAAAUUGAUGUUUCUUCCUUUCACAUUCUGCAACACUACUAUGAUACACACUAUCAAAAGACUAAAAUUCCCCUAUGAACAUGUUCAAGCCAGAACCUACACCAUGUCAUUGCCUUAUAGUGUCUAGAGGAUAGAAGAAUUUGUGAAACAACUUGAAUCAGGAGACUUGAAACUUCGAGUUCGAGUACUUGAGGUAGCUCAUCCACUAAAUAUUUUAGAAGAAAUAAUUACCCUUUUUUUAGACUUUGUGGGAAGUUCUCAAGAGUGACUGCUCUUGAGAGCUCAAACCCUCAUGAGAUGAACUCGACAUUAUUUUGGUUUGGGAUUGAAAACAGUCUGAAAGAGCAGCUCGGAAGGCAACCAUACUACAGAUGGCUACCAUGUACACAGUUUUUGGAGGUAUCCUGCUAAACCUUGGCGUCACAUUAGCCAAUCAAGGCAGUCAAGUUAUUGCAAAUGGAUCGUAUGUUGGUGCAGGUAAACUGUAUUUAACCCCAAAAACUUUCACACUCGAAUAUUUCUUCUUCUUGCCUCUAGACAUUUUCAAGUUUGCCUUCAUCAACUUCCCUGUGGCUAAAAUAUCCUGUUUUGUUAAAAUGCAGGCGUUUCUUGAUAUUGUUUAUUAGGUCCAUGCAAAGGGUGAAAAAGCUAGAUAAAUUUGAGAAGAUGAUAUGACUUUCAAUCCUAGAACUCAUGGACAGUCUCUUAGUUGUAAAAUAAUUUAACCUCCGAUUCUUGGUAAUAUAAUUGUCCCAAAAUUUUCAAACUUGCAUACAAGAGCUCUAUACACUACACGUAGGAAAUGAUUCAAGAUGAAAAAAAUCUAUGCAACUGAAAUCCAGAUCUGUAUGAUUCUAUACAAUGUAUAUCAUAAUCAGAACUUGAGAUCAAUGGAAUUAAUGAGCAACUUUGUUUUCUUUUUUCAUUAUUAUUGUAUUUUUAUUUUUUUUUAAGGUUUUGGACAAGGCAAUUAACAACCCAGAUUCAAGACAAAUAGUUUCAGAGAAAACUUAAAAGGUGUUGUUGGAAACUUGUGUCAUGGUCAAGAACAGCCCAGAGAUCUAUACAUGAUGUUCAAAGGAAUGGAUGACUAUUUUUUGAGUUUGUGUCAUGACCAAGGGGAGCCUAGAGAUCUAUAUAUGACAAACAAAGCAGUGUAUCUGACCUAAUUUGUUAGUUUCUCAAAGGAUUUCUCUGAAUAUAACAGCAAAGCCUUCUGCUACCUUCCAUGAGUCAAAAGCUUGAAUUGGCCUCAAAAUGGCCAGGAGGAUUCUUGUCUUUUGGGUGCCAGCAACUGGGGAGUUAAUUGGUCCAUUCAAACCUGUAAAAUAUAAUUAUAUCGGUUUUAAGCUAAUGGUUUGCACAUGCAACAAUUAUCAAAAGAAAAUUUUUAUGGGAAAAUAGGAAUUGGUCAUCUUUCCUUUCCAACCCUUCAAUUUGUCAUUCCUCGGUUAUAAGCAUCCACCAUUGUCGGAGCAGAUGAGGAUCCAAUACAACUCAACUAAUAUUGACCAUAUCAGUUCAAUUUUCAAUCAUUACAAAGCUCGGUUCUAUUUGAGGAUUAUAAAAACCAACCUAAUUGAUUCAAUUUUCACUUCCUUCGUCUACUAACUAAUAAAAACUAAACCAAACCAAUAUUUUAGUUUUAUAUCAUUGGGUAUGUGAAAGCCCUCUUGAUACCACUUGUUAAGCCAAUAAAAGCUAGCAUUGAAAUCAAUGGUUGAGUCAACGAAAAGCUCUAUGUAUGCAAAUAUUUUAAUGAAAGAGCAUGAAAUCCCAACUAUUAUUAUUAUUAUUCUUAUUAAUCUUACGUCACCUACAAGCAUCUAAAUCACACAAUUCUUACUAUUAUUAUUAUUAUUAUUAUCAUUAUUAAUAUCAUUAUUAUCAUGAUCCUUAUUAAUCCUAGUGUCCUCUUUUACCUAACAAAAUACCCCCAUGUAUUUUAACAACUCCAACAACCCCACCAACUCUACUCAUUAUUAUUAUUUUAAUUUAUUCCACUACCACUCUUUGCCUCUCAUAGUUACAAAUUACUAUUAUUAUUAUUAUUUGUCACCCAACACAGUACCUCAAAUCCAAAAUCCAGAAACAUGCAAUUCUUCUUCUUAUUAUUUUUUAAUCCCUUAAGCCACAUAUAUAUCAUAUAUUUAUUUACUCAUUUAAUUUUUAAAAUUUCAUUGUUUAGAUCUAUUCAUCUAAAAAAAAUUCAAAUUUCCCUAUUUUCAUCAAUGAAACAACCUAUAUUCAUAAUUUCAAUUUUUUGAUCUUAAAAUAAAUUAACUAAAUUAACCCUAAUCUAAAUUAAAAUUUUCUAAAAAAUAUUUAAUUUGUUCAAAACUAACUAACGAAUAUAAUAUAUUAAUCUAGCGUUAGAAUCUUACCUAGAAAAAAUCUGAACUUCUAACUUUAGACCUUCAAACCUUUAGCCCUAUGUUCUCUAAUUCUCUGAAUUUUGGUUAAUAAAGUUUUUUGAAUACAGAAGGCAAGAGAAAAAAAUUUAAUUUAUACCAGGGAUUAUUAAUUGUAAAAGGACCAUUUUACCUUUAGUGAGUUUAAUUAAUUAAUUUAUAAUUUACUAUUUUGCCCCUAAAGUUUAAUUUGGGGUUGUUAUAGUCAUGUCAUAAAAAAUAUGUUUUUUGCAAAAUUUAAAUUAAAACCUCAAUUAUCAAUCGAGACUUCAUUUUUUAAUUAAAACCACAAUUAGCAACUAAAACUUUUAAACUGAAGUCGCAAUUAACAAUUGAGACUUCAUUUUUUGAUCGAAACCUCAAUUGCCAAUUAAGAUUUCAAUUAAUUAUUUUUUACUUUAAAAUUUAAUUAAAAAUAUUAAAUUGCAAAUUAUUGUUGAAAUUAAAAAUAUAUACUUUAAUAAUAAAAAAUUUAUAUAUUUAAACUUAAAGAUCUAGUAUUACUUCAAUAAAGAUAAAUUGAUAAUCUUAAAACAAUAAAGUUAUAUCACAUAUAAAUAAGAUAUAAAAUUAUAUAAUUUAUUAAUUUAAGAUAUUUAAUUUAUUAUAUUUUUAAGAAAUUAAUUUAUUUAUAUUUUGAUAAAUUUAUUUUUAUUGAAAUAAUAGUAUACUAGAUCGUUAAGUUUAAACAUAUAAUUUUUUUAUUAUUAAGAUAUAUAUUUUUAAUUUCAACCGUUAUUUGUAAUUUAAUAUUUUUUAAUUAAAUUUUAAAAUAAAAAAACUAAAUCUUUAAUUGGUAAAGCAGGUUGGAGUUCAAAAAUCAAAUCUCAAUUAAGAAUUAAGGUUUUUUUUUUUAAGGGAGAAUUACCCAAAAGGGUAGGCUAGGCAGAAUAAUUACUAAAAAGGGUGGUAUCUUUUAAUAAUUCUUGGGGAGGACUUUAAUAAGCUUAAUAUACCAAAACUGCCCUUUAACUAAAACUUUUAAAAUUCAAAGCAUUUAAAGCACUUCACUUGAUUUGUCAAUACAUUUAUGGUACAUGGGUCCCACAUUUAUUGUAAUUAUUGAUAUUUAUAUUUUAAAUCAAAAUUUUGGGUUUAACCCUUACAAUUAUAUAUAAUUUGUUAUUUAAAUUUACAAUUUAAAAAAAAUACUUUUAAAAAAUAUUUUCAAAAUAUCAUUUAUUGUUUUUUUUUCCUUUUUUUAUUUUUAUUCUAAUUUUAAAUUUUAUGAAGAAAAAAAUAAGUUUUAUUAUUAUAUAAUAAAAAUGAUAAUUUUUUUAUAUAUAUUUUAAAUUGAUAAAUUAUGUUUUUGUAUUAAAUUUAAGGAAGAUAAAAUGUUUAAUUUUUCAUUCAGAUUCUCUAAAAAGAAUAAGAAAAUGAUAGAGAAUGUUUAAUCAUUCUUUUAUUUUUAUAAUAAAAUAAUUUAAAAAUAUAUAUGAUUUUUUUUCCUUUGCAUAGUGUUUUUUUUUUUUAAUUUUCAUAUAAUUUUUUUUUUCAAUGCAUCGGGUGAAUGAUGUUAAUAUAUUUGAUAUGUUGAAUAUUAAUAAGGUAUAAAAGGUAAUCCUCAAUAUUAUUACUUUUAUUAUAAAAUACAAGCACAACAAAAAUAUGUUAUAAUUACAAUAUAAAUACACUUACAUUACAAUACAUUACAAUAAAACCUAAUUAAGAAAUUUAUGAAUUUUUUUAUAAAAAUGGUAAUUUAUAUGAUCAUACCAUAUUUCACAACAUACCUAUAUCAUAAAUAAUUUCUAAAAUAAAAUGAAAUACUAAUUUGAAUUCACGUAGUUUAUAUAUAUAUAUAUAUAUAUAUAUACAAAAAUUAUUAAAUAAUUUCAAAACACUAAAUAAAUGUUGUUAAUAUAUUAAUACGAUGUGUUAAUACCAAUAGGGUAUGAAUAAACAUUUUUAGAAUUAUUACUUUUAUAAUGAAAUAUAGGUACAACAUAAAUACAUUAUACUUACAAUAUAAAUACACUAUCAUUACAAUAUAUUACAACAUAAUUUAAUUUAUUUUUAUUUAAUUUUUUCACGUGCUAUAUUACCCCAUGAAUAAUUGUGAGUUAUUCCAUUUAAUAGGUGUGUUGUGUUAGUCAAUUGAAUAUUUAUAUAUUAUUCAAUUGAUGAGUGUUCGUAAAAAAUAAUUAUUUAUUAUAUUAUGAUAACAAAGUUUUUAAUUGUAUGUUUUAUAUAUAAAACGAUAUAAUAACUUUAGAAUAUGGUUUUUAUUUAUGAGAUAUUUUUUUUUUUUUUACAAGGUUCUUUAAAAAAUCUCAAGUUUUUUUUUUAAAAAAAAAUAGCAAAUUUUUAAACAGUUAAUUAUUCAAAAUUGACAAUAAUUUUUUCAAAUUGAGAAAUGUAUCGUUAAUUGCCUAUCAACCGGUACUUAUCAUCAUAUAUGGGUCCUACAACAUUUAUCAAUCUGUACUUAUCAUCAUGUAUGGGCCCUACAUAAUUGACAAUCUCAAUUUAUUUAUAAAUAAUAUAAAAAACAUAUUUAAAAGUAAAAUUAUCUUUUAUAACAGUGAGUCCUCGUAGUCAUUAUUUUUUCUAGUAAUCCUCCCUUUUUUUUUUUUUUAAUGAGAUGGCUCUAAGCGUUGGUUGUCAUGUCAAAUCUCUGUUUAAAAGUGACUCUAAGAGUUGGUUGCUUGUCAUUUCAAAGAUGUGAAUAGAGCUAAAACCAACCAUUUUCCAAAUUACUUGUAAAAAUAAACAAUCCAACAUUUUCAAGAAAGGCAUGGAUGCCAGUCACUGUCAUACUUCCAUUGACACGAAAAUCUCAAUUACCAGUGUCAUGAAGAAGAAAGAGUGACCCAAUGCCAUGCAUGGGAUUAAAUCAUACAUUUUUUUUUCUAUAAAAACGCUGUUUUCCCACCAAACUCCGAAAUAUCAGCAAGCAACACAAGUACCAGACAACUGAAUCUCUUCAAUCGUCUGUGACGCUAGUGCAUCGUCCACCGUACUCCCUCCUUUCUCCUUCAACCUCUGCGAUUCAGUUCUACUAUUGGAGGUCCGCUACUGAAUCUUUCUUCGUUCCACUCAGUGGUUUUUCUGUUUGGUUUCCGAGAAUAUUGAGGAAGUUUUGGUUUUUUUUUUAAAAAAAAGGAACUUGGAAGCCUUGCAUUUUAUUGUUUUCUUUCUGGUGUUUGGUUCCUCGGAAAGUCUACAAGUCAACGUAGUUAAGCUGGCGUUUGAACCAAAACAGGGGAAAAUGUGAGCACUGAAUAGUUUUUUUUCCUCUUUCCUUCUCCUCGAGUUUCAUGAUCGGGAAGCGCAGCUUAAAGCUUCGAUUGGAAAUUGGUUUCUUAAGUAAAUAUUUGCUAGUUUGAUUUAAGCGGAUUGAAAUUUUGUUUCUUAGGAUUUAAACCGAGAACUCUUCCAGCGAUUGAUUAUUAUUUGUAUAUUGCAUUCGGUUGAAGAUUCAGAACUAUUGAAGAACUAUGGUUCCAUAGCCAUUGAGUGUUGGUUGAUUUGACACUUGAUAUUUGUUUUUGAACUUGAAUCGUAUGUGUUCUUUUAAUGAUUUAGUUUUGCUUUUGAUAAUUCUUUUUUGAUGAAUUUUAAUUUGUCAUUUCUGCUUAUAGCUUAUGUUAGUGUUCAAUCAUGGCCAGGUCUACAGGUGUUCUUUUAUUAGAUGGCGGCAAUACUGGCUUCACACAGCUGCUAUUGCCGCAAUGUGGAGUUGAUGAAUCAAGGAAGAGCAGUAGAGAAUCUCGGUUUCUCAAGCUCAAUUUCUUCUCAGAAUUUCUCAAAGUUUGAGAGGCCCACAUGUCAUCUGCCUAUGGCUGAUAAAUCCUUUAGAUUUCAAGUAGAGAUGCGAAAGAGUGAAUCUCCCGUGAGCUUAGGUACAAAUGGACGAGCUACUAAAAUGGUUCCCACGAGUGAGAUAGCGAAAAACAGAACCCCGCCCACCAAAAAAGUAGAAAUAGUGAAUGGCUCAAGCCGGGUUGUUAAUGGAGCAAGCAUAGUGAAGAGAGAUACUGCAACUGCCCUGGUUAAGGCACAAAAAAGUAAAGAAUCUAGAGAUCUCCCACCAAUGGAGGAGCUAAAGGUUCUGCCCUCUGAUGAAGGUUUCAGCUGGGCCAAUGAAAAUUAUAAUUCCUGGCAGAGGUCUAUAGAUGUUUGGUCCUUUGUUAUUUCUCUACGUCUUCGCAUUCUGUUGGACAAUGCAAAAUGGGCAUAUUUAGGAGGUUUUACAGAAGAUAAGCAGGUGAGUUUUGUUAAUCCAUUAUGGCUGUGAUCUUUUGCAGCUUGUUAAAUUCCUAACCAUGGUUGGAUAAUAGAGAUCUAUUUCACUUGCUGCUUAAUUAUGUCUACUAUGCCCAUUCUUCCAUUUAUUUCUGGGUUAUGUUGAUUCAUAAUAUUUAGUUUACUUUUUUCACUCAUAAAAUUCUUUCUCAUUCAGAAAAACAGAAGCCGUAAAACUGCCUCAUGGUUGCGGGAACGCGUUCUGCAACUUGGUCCAACUUUUAUCAAAUUUGGGCAGUUAUCCUCAACAAGGUCAGAUCUGUUUCCAAGAGAGUUUGUGGAUGAGCUUGCCAAGUUGCAGGUAUCCCUUUGUUGUGGGCUCUGUUUUCUUGCAUUCAUCUACUUCUGGAUGUGGAUUCCCUAGCGUAUAUGUAAUUUUGUCCUUCACAAUAAGCAUGUUGGCUUAUAAUUUUAUGAACGUCUCAGGAUAGGGUACCUGCUUUUUCAUCAAAAAAAGCAAGAGACUUAAUUGAGAGUGAACUGGGAGCUUCAAUUGAAAUAUUGUUCAAGGAGUUUGAAGACCAGCCAAUUGCUGCAGCUAGUCUUGGUCAGGUGUUUGCUCUGUGUUUGUUUAUAUUCCAUUCUGUUUUGGUCCAACCUUGGAGAAUUAUGAAAUGUUUGUUCAUUCUAUCUUGACCUUAUGAAGCUUAAAGGAUAUUAUUUUGCCAUGUGGUAUGAUAUCAAGAACAACCUCAGAGAGAAACUUUUUCAUACAACAAAAGGAAAAAAUUAUUCAAGUUGUAAAUGAAAAAGAAAAAACUAAUACUAAUAGAGGGUAGAAAGUUGUAAACUCCAUGGCUAGAGCAAUGAAGGAGAACAUCUACAAGCUGAUGGUUGCAUAUAAGUGCUGAAUGAUGAAGUUAGACUCUUGAUAAUUUGAACUGACCGAUAAUCUUGGAUAUUACUAUUUCCUUCUUGCAAUUUUUUGUCCCUUCUGCCGAUUUGAAUUUUGAAGAGUCCUUUUAGGUGCAUCGGGCUGUCCUACAUAAUGGAGAGAAAGUUGUUGUGAAAGUUCAGAGGCCUGGUCUCAAGAAACUUUUUGACAUCGACCUACGUAAGUGAUGCACACUUUUAUCAUUCUCCUAUCGUUAUCUUGUGGCUGUUUUUGAUAAUGAAAUAUUCAAAUAGUCUAUUUCUCACUGCAUUGGAAGCUCACCAUCAUUUGGCUAGUAUAGUUUUGUUUCAUAUGGACAUGCAGUUGACUCCAAUUCCAUCUCUCCCAUUCAUUUGCUUUCCUCAAAUAGUUGGACUUGGUUCAUGGCAUCAUGGAUAAUUAGUCAAAAGCCUAUUACCAUUUAACUGAUGAUCGUUUUUAGAUGUUGAGAAAGCAUAAAACUGACUAGAUGACCUGCUAUUAUAUUUUCUGCCAGAUGGAACUUUGAGGUUCCUAAAUUGCAAUUCAAUAAUUUUGGUUAGUUUACUCAAAAUUGAUCCUUCCUUCCAGGAAAUUUAAAGCUAAUUGCAGAGUAUUUUCAGAGAAGUGAAACCUUUAGUGGAGCAACAAGAGAUUGGAUUGGUAUAUAUGAAGAAUGUGCUACGUAAGUACAAAGCAUCUAUCAGUCAUUUUGUGUGUUUCUUUGGUAAGAAUAGUUUUACAUGCUGCAAAUGUGUAGUUCUGCUGGUAACAUUUUAUCAUGAAAAUGUUGCCCUCUAUCCAUAGAGUGUGUUCAAAGUUUUAUGAGCUGCAAGGUUAUGGUUGCUGCUGCUCACUCUUGUAUUUAUUUGGCUUCAGGCUUUUGUAUCAAGAAAUUGAUUAUAUGAAUGAAGGGAAGAAUGCUGAUAGAUUCCGCAGGGAUUUUCGAAAUGUAAAGUGGGUUCGAGUACCUGUAUGUUUCCAUCUACAAAACCUCAUGAUUGUUGAUGCUCAUUUUCUUUCAUUUCUUUCUCGGAUUUUUUAUUAUUAUUAUAAUCUUGUUAUCGUGUAAUUGAGUUGUGUACAGAGCAAUUAUUCUGUUCUUUUAAGUCUUUCUGAUCCUUAUUUUGAACCUUUUCUUUCCUCUUUGUAGCUGGUGUUUUGGGAUUAUACUGCCACAAAGGUAUUGACCUUGGAGUAUGUUCCAGGUUUCAGUCUUAACUCAUGAUUUUAAGGGCUACAGAAUUGAUUUAUUGUAGUAGUAGUUGAUUUGAUGUUUCUUUUUUUAACAGGCAUUAAGAUAAAUCGGCGGGAUAUGCUAGAUGCACAGGGUUUUAAUCGUUCUCGUAUUUCAUCACACGCUAUUGAAGCAUACUUAAUUCAGGUUAAGGGCCAUCUCCUGUCUGAUUUUGAUCAAACCUGAACCUUGUUACUAGUUCCUCGUGAUAUACCUUGUGUAGAUUAUAUGCACAAAGAAAAGUAUGAGUUCCCUAAUGACCCUCAUGCAUUUAAGCUAUUGUUUGAUGAAUAUUUCACUUACACUUUCUCUAUGACUGAAUAAUUCUCUCCGGAUUUGCUCAUAUAUUAGAUACUAAAAAUGGGUUUCUUUCAUGCUGAUCCUCAUCCUGGAAACCUUGCCAUUGAUGUGGAUGAAACGAUUAUCUACUAUGACUUUGGUAUGAUGGGAGAAAUCAAAUCUUUCACACAGGAGAGAUUGCUUGAACUUUUCUAUGCAAUUUAUGAAAAAGAUGCAAAAAAGGUUUGCUUUUACUUUCUCAAUAUUGAUUUUUUUUUUUUCAUUUUUUGAUUAUAUUAACAUGAUAAUCAGUGCUCUAAGUUGAUUGGAAUUGCAUCCCUCCAUUCACUCAUUAUGAUAUCCCUUGUUUGAUCCUGUCUCUUUCUCUUCUCUUCUUCAUUAUCCCAUCCUUAAAAUACUGUCAGCCUGGAUGAAUUGGGCUUAAACUGGCAAGCUGAUAUGUGCAGGUUAUGCAAAGUCUUACAGAUCUUGAAGCACUGCAACCCACAGGAGACUUGUCAUCAGUAUGUCAUCUUCAUACUGUAUAUACCUAUAAAUGUCAGGAUGAGAGUCCAGCGCUCAAUUUCAUCAUCUUCUAGUGAUAAAUAGGUUUUCUAGGCAUUCAUUCGCCCAUCUCUGAAAGUUUUUUCUAUUCUGUUCCUAGGUGAGGAGAUCAGUGCAAUUUUUCUUGGACAAUUUGUUAAGUCAGACGCCAGAUCAGCCGCAGACUUUAGCUGCAAUUGGUGAGGUAUGCAAAUAUUUGUCUAAAAACUGAAUAAUCAUGUGAGCUCCUAUUUGAAACAAUUAAUUUUUUCGUAGUGCACAGGCAAAGACAUGUGAUCAUUCAAACUUCUCAUGCUUCCAUAACUGGUAAAAUGCCAUUAGGCAUAAAGGGGUCUCUGCUGGAUCAUUCAUCAUUGAAAACCACGAGAAGAAUUUGCAAUAUAAGAUAUAGUUGGAUUGACCAAAAAUUGAUUAUGAUAAUUCUUAUCAGAAGGUCAUCAGACUCUUGCAUUGGAGGAAAGUGCAUUAUCAAUUAUUGUCUCUUAGGUAUCAAGUGGUAGAAUAAAAAAGAAUGAGGGCAGAAGACAAUAUCCUAGUAGCUUUUUGUGCUUUCAAGUAAUGGAUGUUAGGUCCUUUAACUAUUCUUUGUAUUCUUAUUACUACUUCAGGAUUUGUUUGCUAUAGCCACAGAUCAGCCAAUCCGUUUUCCAUCUACCAUCACCUUUGUUCUAAAGGCAUUUUCAACACUGGAAGGUGCUCUCUCUCUCUCUCUCUCUCUCUCUCUCUCUCUCUCCUGCACACAUACAAAUACAUGCUCCCAUAGCUUCAUUUCCAAAUAGAAAGUCACCAAAUACCACUUCUCCUCAUAAUAGAUUUCGAUGCCACCUGUUCAGAAACUCCACUGUCAUCUUUAAGUUUCUCUAAGUACGCUUACAUAAGUGUGUAGAUAUGUGCGCAUGCGCAUAUGUUUAUGUUCUAUGAGUAGAUGAGCACACUGAUCCUGAUUGAAUUUCUCACUUCUGAAUGUGACUUUUCUUGUAGGAAUUGGCUACUCACUUGAUCCAGAUUUUUCCUUUGUGAAGAUUGCUGCACCUUAUGCACAGGUUCCAUUCAUUUCCCUAAUAAUUUUAUGCAUCUUUUUUCCUUACGUGCUUCUCUAAUGCUUUUAGUUUAGCUCUAAUGAUUCACACCGUAUACAGGAGCUUUUAGAUAUACGACAGCAGCAGCGAACUGGACCACAAUUUGUGCAGGAGAUAAGGAAACAAGCAGACGAUGUAUUCUACUCUCUUCCCUUCCCACUUCAGUUCCUUCUGAAAAUUGAUGUUUCUUCCUUCCACAUUCUGCGACACAAUAUGAUACACAUUAUCAAAAGACUAAAAUUCCCCCUAUGAACAUGUUCAGGCCAGAACCUACACCAUGUCCAUGCCAUACAGUGUCCAGAGGAUAGAAGAAUUUGUGAAACAACUUGAAUCAGGAGACCUGAAACUUCGAGUUCGAGUACUUGAGGUAGUCAUCCACUAAAUAUUUUAGAAGAAAUAAUUACCCUUUUUUGAGACUUUGUGGGAAGUUCUCAAGAGUGACUGUUCUUGAGAGCUCAAACCCUUAUGAGAUGAACUCAACAUUAUUUUGGUUUGGGAUUGAAAACAGUCUGAAAGAGCAGCUCGGAAGGCAACCAUACUACAGAUGGCUACCAUGUACACAGUUUUAGGAGGUACC
rnacentral:lncRNA from 1 species